AACUUAUGGAGCGGGGAAACAGAGACUCCGCAGAUCCAUGGAUCUGGCGGAGCUGGAGGUUUUCCGAACAGCUCCUUAGUCGCACUGUAGCCCCCUCUUAUCCCUAGCACCGACGCUCUGCUUCAUCAACUGCGAGCCCAUGCGCUUCCCUUGACGUGAGUGCAUACUGGUGGUCAUGGAGGCUAGCUGGCGCGCCGACAUCUUCUUCACAAGGGCAACCCACACUGCUACGUUUCAUUGCUUGUCGUAGCCACACAUAUGUUGAGCUUGUGACAAUUCUGUUGUGUGCCUUCAAACACCACUCUUUUGUGAGAUUUCGUAAAACAGGUGCAAUUGAACCUCUUAUCUAAUUGUGAUGUAGGAGGAGAGCAUGGAGUUCCUUGAGAAGCUUAAUAUUUACGGGAAUGUUCCUAGUAAGCUCGUUGUGCGAGAGCUCCAUGGCCACUGAGGUCCACAAAGGGGGACUAAAUUGCCAAAAACGAUCACAAUUACGUGUGCUAGUGCCAAAAACCACCGUUUUCGUGAAAAUUUGCCGAAAACAUCAAUUUUGAGUAAUUAUUUGCUGAAAACACUAAAAACUAUGCUUGAUCCCGUUUUGACGUAAAAGCUGGCAGUGGGACCCGCCCAUCAGGGCCACCCGGCAUGGGAUAACGGUUCGGGGAGACGACAAUCGUUGCUGCCAUAUGGGGUCCAUCUGUCAUACAAAGGAAAAAAAAUAAAAAUAAAAACAUGAAUAUAAAGAAAAAUAUAGCUCUUUUUUCUCACCCAGGAGCCAACAACCAAUCUUAUAUACGUAAAACAAAAGAUCAGGUCGGGAGGCCAGCAGUGCCUGGAUCCCCGCAGCGGACCGCGCGCGGGGUGGCCAACAACGACAUUGGUCGGAGACCCGUCAGCCAGCAAGCGUCGCCGCUCGGACAAGCUGCUUCCCCGUGCCUCCUUCCUUCUCCUCCUAUCCUCUUCCCCCGGCGCCUAGCUGCCAUGGUGCGCCGCCAUUCACGACAUGCCACCGUGCAUCAACUCCGAGGCCUCCUUGAUGCAGAGGCAUUCAUGGAGGGGUUCGCCGGAGCGGGAUGUGGAGCGGAUGAGGUUGCAGGAGGGGCUCAUGGCGCCCGUGUCCACGAUGACGGCGACGAGCUCCGGCAGUUGGAGGCAUGCACGCACCUGCCGGUGAGGCUCCUCAUCAUGUUGGCAUCGUCGAUGGGGCGCACUCUACCGACGUGGUCGUUGGGAGGACGGGGCAUCCUGGAGCAUGAGUGGAAGCUCGCGACCAUGGCAUGGCCAUCACCUCCUACAACAGUGGGGCUCGCCGGAGUGGGAUCCUGCUGAUCGGCACAACUUAUGGGCCUUGCUUCAUAAACUUACUAGAGUACUACUUUAUUAGCCGAUUACCACCGCAAGCUGCGGAAUCAAGGGGUGUGACUUGUGGACCGAAUACCUUCCCAGUGUCCCCAAAUGCGAGGAGAAAGGAACUGAAAUUUUCGUCUCGCACUAGUGGUUGAGUAUGGAGUGAGGCCCAUACUAGGGUUCCCCAGCCUCCAAAUGGAGGGCUACGUGGUUGUUUAUGAAGCAAGGUCCAUAAGUUAUGCCGAUCGACACCCAUAUGACGGCUUUGCUAGAGUGACAUUUUGAUAAAAAAUGACCGUAUUUGGCAGUUAUUAUGGCAGUCGCGACUACUAGAGUUUUUGUUAGCCCAUACAAGAGAUGUGCGUAGCUCACUUGGAUUAGAGCAUCUGAGUUGAACUCUCCGAGGACACAAAAUAGGAUUCAUAUUUAUAAUGUCCUCUUUGAAAUAUCAUUUACUAGUCUAUCCAUUACAAGUUUUUAGUUCACGUGCAUUCGACUGGCAAAAUAAUUGAAUGUUCACCAACUGUCGUUCAUGUGAAUGAUGCUUUCCUUGUAUAUAUAUAUGUCACUCCAUGGACCAUUGUUUUUCUAUUCAAGUUAGCAUGUCGGCAGUACUAAACUAGUACACUAAUACGUGGGAUGCCAUGAUCAACUUGAGCAGAAAAUGAGAGGAGAAUUACAUUACAUAGAUGUUACAACAUGUACGUGGGAACGAGAGACAUCUGGAAUAGCUAGGAGAGAGAUAUCUUUAGGUUGGUCAGACACCAAAGGAGAUGCUUCACCAUUAAGCUCAAUAGUAUGGUUCGCUUUCAACAUUGCACCUCCAUCACAACAUGCUUUUCGAGCUAUAGUCGCCCUGUAGCUCCCUCUUGUCCCCUGACAUCGACAGUCUGCUUCAUCAACCGCAAGCCCAUGUGCUUCUCCUUGACAAGUGUGCGUACUGACGGUCAUGGCGGCUUGAUGGUUUGCAGACAUCUUCUUCAGAAGGACAGCGCGCACUGCUAUGUCCCAUUGCUUGUCAUAACGCCAAGUAUGUUGAGUUUGUGAUGAUUCUCUAUGUGCCAUACAAAACCACUCUUUUGUGAGAUUUGCUAAAACAAGUGGUAUUGAACCUCAUGCAGCAGGAGAGCAUGGAGUUCUUUGAGGAGCUUAAUAUUCGUGGGAAUGUUCCCAGUAAGCUCGUCGUGCGAGAGCUCAAGGGCCACCAAGGUCCUGAGAGGGAAGAAGGCAAAGGACUCCAGUGUCACUCUCAGCUGCAUCCCCGGGAGGGAGAUGGCAGUGAUCGCUGACAGGCGGCCACCCCACCGGAAGCCCUGCCAACGGCAAGGUAAAAUACAUGUUUCCCAAGGAACGCAGCGCUGCAGCAGCUGAGAUGAGUAUGAUCUGGGAUGGUAGACAUCAUCAGUAUGGUGAGAGAGGCAAGUAUUUUGGAAGACAAGGCUUCCAUGGCUAGGAUAGGAAUUGGUUCCGCACCAGUAUUUCCGCUAUCUCUUUCCGUGUAGGCAUGAGAGUCAAAACAUUUAUACGACUGAUUGGUUACCCCUCCCUUUCUAUCUCUCUCGUUCCUUAAUUAAUCUUCCUGAUGAAGAUAUGACCCGCUCUCUGAAGCAUUUUUCCUCGUAGUAGCUGAAUGUGUACUCUCUGGGACAGAUUAUGACACAUGUUCAUUCAAAGCCAAAGUUACAGAAUCCAAAUAAGUACGCACCCAGAAAAAGAAACCAGAAAGAAGGUAACACAACACAAACUACAGAAAGGAUCUCAACAAAAGAAAGAGAAUUACAAACACAUCCCUGGAGGAUCUUGUGCAAAGUGGACCAGCCGUCGGAGAAGAAAGGUAUGAGAUACUGCCGCACCUAGGUUCAGAGGAACACGAUUAGACAUGAGCAUUGCUACUUUCUGAGCCAAUUAAACGGUUCAUCACAAGCGGGAGAACCGAGCGGUGUUGUUCGUUGGCCCGGGACCUUCCCCACAAAGACCACCGUCUUCCAGUGGCGAAGCUACAUGUAGACAUCGCUACUUUUUGAGCCUAUAAAACGGUCCACCGCAAGCGGCAGAACCGAGGGGGUGUGAAUCGCCGGCCAGGGACUUUUGCAGCGUCCGUCGAACCGCCAUCUACAUGUAGUUUGUGAUGUCUUUGAGCUGUUGUAAACAUAUGUUCUCUUUGAAAUGUCAUUUACUACUAGCUUAUAUUCACUACAGAAAAAUCACGUUUUACCGUGUGGCAAGCUAUAAGUCAUGUUCUUUUUUUCGGGUACUCGGCUUAUUUGAAUAUAAGCCGUGUACACAAGAAAAAACACCCGGUAAAAACAACGCACUCGGCUUAUGCUAUCAUAUAAGCCGAGUGUCCAGAAAAAGCUCUCGGCUUACAGUUUUCACACGGUAUAUAUGAAGAAAGCACUCGGUUUAUAGCGUGUCACCUGGUAAAGGUACGUGCCACGUGUCUACAACAGCGAUGUUUGACGGCGCCGUCACGGCUUGAACUAUAAGCCUGUGCUUGACAAGUACACACGGCUUAGACACACUAUAAGCCGUGUGCUUGACAAGAACACACGGUUUACACAUAGUAUACGCCGUGUGCUUGGUAAGUGGACACGGCUUACACACUAUAUGCCGUGUGUUCUGCAAAAGCACUCGGUUUAUUUUUUAUAGAUUUUCAAAUUUAAAAAAGUUCUAAAGUGAUUUCCCUUGCAUUUAUCUUUAAUCCCUGAAUGUUAUUUAUUUAUUCAUUUUACCACAGGAAUGUCUCUCAUGUCGGCUAUAGACCGUGUGAGGGGGUAGAAAGAUCACCAAAACCCUAGAAAUGCAAUAAAUGUCUCAAAUAGUUGUGGGCCCACCUGGAACGUGCCCAAACUUUUACGACACCCUACAAGGGGCAUGUGAUGACGUCGUGCCUGAUCCUGAGGAUUUCUGGCAUCGUAUCAUUUUCCGAGGCUUCAAACGGUUUGAUGAGGCAUGUCACCCAAGUGAUUUCGUACCCCCGAUGGUUGGGGUUGCCCCUCCCACGCCUGCACAAGGCAUACCCAUGUCACAAAUACAUCACAUAGGAUUUUCCAUGCUUCUUCUGGGCAUGAUUUCAUGUGUCGCCUUGCAGAUCUGCAAUUUUCGACACUGAAACCGUAGAAUUGCAAUAAAUGUCUCAAAUAUUGUAGUCGGGUCAGAAAAAUGCACGGGCCUGACACGUGUCAUUCGAUGGCCUCCUCUGAGAGCACGAGGAGUUUCGAUGCCAACGGAGCAACAUGACCAACACUUCCUUCACAAACGUGACACGUUCCAUCUCGAUACCAAGAGAAUACCUCGAAGAUGGUGCAGUUUACAAGCGGCCUCGGGUAAGCCCCACCCAGACCGCGUCCAAACUUUUACGACACCCUACAAGGGGCAUGUGAUGAUGCCUGGCAUCCGACCCUUUUCCGAGGCUUCAAACGGUUUGGUGAGGCAUGUCACCCAAGUGAUUUCGUACCCCCGAUGGCUGGGGCUGCCCCUCCCACGCCUGCACAAGGCAUGCCCAUGUCACAAAUACAUCACAUAGGAUUUUCCAUGCUUCUUCUGGGCAUGAUUUCAUGUGUCGCCUUGCAGAUCUGCAAUUUCCGACACUGAAACCCUAGAAUUGCAAUAAAUGUCUCAAAUAUUGUAGUCGGGUCAGAAAAAUGCACGGGCCUGACACGUGUCAUUCGAUGGCCUCCUCUGAGAGCACGAGGAGUUUCGAUGCCAACGGAGCAACAUGACCAACACUUCCUUCACAAACGUGACACGUUCCAUCUCGAUACCAAGAGAAUACCUCGAAGAUGGUGCAGUUUACAAGCGGCCUCGGGUAAGCCCCACCCAGACCGCGUCCAAACUUUUACGACACCCUACAAGGGGCAUGUGAUGAUGCCUGGCAUCCGACCCUUUUCCGAGGCUUCAAACGGUUUGGUGAGGCAUGUCACCCAAGUGAUUUCGUACCCCCGAUGGCUGGGGCUGCCCCUCCCACGCCUGCACAAGGCAUGCCCAUGUCACAAAUACAUCACAUAGGAUUUUCCAUGCUUCUUCUGGGCAUGAUUUCAUGUGUCGCCUUGCAGAUCUGCAAUUUCCGACACUGAAACCCUAGAAUUGCAAUAAAUGUCUCAAAUAUUGUAGUCGGGUCAGAAAAAUGCACGGGCCUGACACGUGUCAUUCGAUGGCCUCCUCUGAGAGCACGAGGAGUUUCGAUGCCAACGGAGCAACAUGACCAACACUUCCUUCACAAACGUGACACGUUCCAUCUCGAUACCAAGAGAAUACCUCGAAGAUGGUGCAGUUUACAAGCGGCCUCGGGUAAGCCCCACCCAGACCGCGUCCAAACUUUUACGACACCCUACAAGGGGCAUGUGAUGAUGCCUGGCAUCCGACCCUUUUCCGAGGCUUCAAACGGUUUGGUGAGGCAUGUCACCCAAGUGAUUUCGUACCCCCGAUGGCUGGGGCUGCCCCUCCCACGCCUGCACAAGGCAUGCCCAUGUCACAAAUACAUCACAUAGGAUUUUCCAUGCUUCUUCUGGGCAUGAUUUCAUGUGUCGCCUUGCAGAUCUGCAAUUUCCGACACUGAAACCCUAGAAUUGCAAUAAAUGUCUCAAAUAUUGUAGUCGGGUCAGAAAAAUGCACGGGCCUGACACGUGUCAUUCGAUGGCCUCCUCUGAGAGCACGAGGAGUUUCGAUGCCAACGGAGCAACAUGACCAACACUUCCUUCACAAACGUGACACGUUCCAUCUCGAUACCAAGAGAAUACCUCGAAGAUGGUGCAGUUUACAAGCGGCCUCGGGUAAGCCCCACCCAGACCGCGUCCAAACUUUUACGACACCCUACAAGGGGCAUGUGAUGACGUCGUGCCUGAUCCUGAGGACUGGGGCUGCCCCUCCCACGACUGCACAAGGCAUACCCAUGUCACAAAUACAUCACAUAGGACAUCAUAUGGUUCAGAGCCAUAAAGAAACCGAUUUUAUUCCUGCCAAAGUUUCAAGAUUAGAUUUAGUGCAACCAACAUUUUUAUUUUCUCGAAGUAUGUAAAAGAAAUAAAAUUUGGCACUAUACGUAAUGCCUUAAUAGUAAUCUAAAAACCUUACAGUAUUGCUCUAGGUAUUUCCUCGUCAUGUCAAUAAAAAAACUAUGAUGUGAAUUUAAAGUAAUUAAAUACCAUACCAGACGAAUGUCAUGGAAGUUAAACACGGAUAUUCAAAAUAAAAUUUAAACACGAAUUUGCACACACUUGAACAUAUUUUCAUGUGUAAGCCGUGUGUACUUGUCAUAGGGCACUCGGCUUACAUUUUUGCACCCGGCUUACUCCAUAUACAGAAAACGCGGGAGUUAGCCAAAUAUCAGGCGCGCUUUCUCCAAAAUAGACCGCGCUUUCUGUUUUUUUUUUCCAAAUCUCCCCUCCACCUCGCGCAGCAGAUCCCACCACUGCUCCCCACCGCACCAGCUGUUGGGGAACGUCGCAUGGGAAACAAAAAUUUUCCUACGCGCACGAAGACCUAUCAUGGUGAUGUCCAUCUACGAGAGGGAAUGAGUGAUCUACGUACCCUUGUAGAUCGCACAGCAGAAGCGUUAGAGAACGCGGUUGAUGUAGUGGAACGUCCUCACGUCCCUCGAUCCGCCCCGCGAACAAUCCCGCGAUCAGUCCCACGAUCUAGUACCGAACGGACGGCACCUCCGCGUUCAGCACACGUACAGCUCGACGAUGAUCUCGGCCUUCUUGAUCCAGCAAGAGAGACGGAGAGGUAGCAGAGUUCUCCGGCAGCGUGACGGCGCUCCGGAGGUUGGUGAUGAUCUUGUCUCAGCAGGGCUCCGCCCGAGCUCCGCAGAAACAUGAUCUAGAGGAAAAACUAUGGAGGUAUGUGGUCGGGCAGCCGUGAGAAAGUCGUCUCAAAUCUGCCCUAAAAGCCCCAUAUAUAUAGGAGGAGGGAGGGGGACCUUGCCUUGGGGUCCAAGGGAUCCCCAAGGGGUCGGCCGAGCCAGGGGGGAGGACUCUCCCCCCCAAACCGAGUCCUACUUGGUUUGGUGGGAGGGAGUCCUUCCCCCUUCCCACUUCUUCCUUUUUUUUUCUUUCCUUUGAUUUUUUCUCUCUUGGCGCAUAGGGGAUUGGUGGGCUGUCCCACCAGCCCACUAAGGGCUGGUGUGACCCCCCCCCCAAAAGCCUAUGGGCUUCCCCGGAGUGGGUUGCCCCCCUCCGGUGAACUCCCGGAACCCAUUCGUCAUUCCCGGUACAUUCCCGGUAACUCCGAAAACCUUCCGGUAAUCAAAUGAGGUCAUCCUAUAUAUCAAUCUUCGUUUCCGGACCAUUCCGGAAACCCUCGUGACGUCCGUGAUCUCAUCCGGGACUCCGAACAACAUUCGGUAACCAACCAUAUAACUCAAAUACGCAUAAAACAACGUCGAACCUUAAGUGUGCAGACCCUGCGGGUUCGAGAACUAUGUAGACAUGACCCGAGAGACUCCUCGGUCAAUAUCCAAUAGCGGGACCUGGAUGCCCAUAUUGGAUCCUACAUAUUCUACGAAGAUCUUAUCGUUUGAACCUCAGUGCCAAGGAUUCGUAUAAUCCCGUAUGUCAUUCCCUUUGUCCUUCGGUAUGUUACUUGCCCGAGAUUCGAUCGUCAGUAUCCGUAUACCUAUUUCAACCUCGUUUACCGGCAAGUCUCUUUACUCGUUCCGUAAUACAAGAUCCCGCAACUUACACUAAGUUACAUUGCUUGCAAGGCUUGUGUGUGAUGUUGUAUUACCGAGUGGGCCCCGAGAUACCUCUCCAUCACACGGAGUGACAAAUCCCAGUCUUGAUCCAUACUAACUCAACUAACACCUUCGGAGAUACCUGUAGAGCAUCUUUAUAGUCACCCAGUUACGUUGCGACGUUUGAUACACACAAAGUAUUCCUCCGGUGUCAGUGAGUUAUAUGAUCUCAUGGUCAUAGGAACAAAUACUUGACACACAGAAAAACAGUAGCAACAAAAUGACACGAUCAACAUGCUAUGUCUAUUAGUUUGGGUCUAGUCCAUCACGUGAUUCUCCCAAUGACGUGAUCCAGUUAUCAAGCAACAACACCUUGUUCAUAAUCAGAAGACACUGACUAUCAUCGAUCAACUGGCUAGCCAACUAGAGGCAUGCUAGGGACGGUGUUUUGUCUAUGUAUCCACACAUGUAAAUGAGUCUUCAUUCAAUACAAUUAUAGCAUGGAUAAUAAACGAUUAUCUUGAUACAGGAAUUAUAAUAAUAACUAUACAUUUAUUAUUGCCUCUAGGGCAUAAUUCCAACACAAACUUCCCAGAAAAAUGGAAGUUUUUUCAUGGCAUCUAACAAAACUGAGUUUACCAACAUAUGAUGUGUUGAAUUAGAGGAACAUGGCAACAAAAUCAAAUUAUGUGCGAAAGGGAGGGGUGAUCAUGCUUUGGCCGUGGGAGAGGUUUAGUCAGCGGGUCUGCUACAUUCAGAUCCGUGUGCACUUUGCAUAUAUUUACGUCCUCUCCCUCGACGUAGUCGCGGAUGAGGUUGAAGCGUCGUUUGAUGUGUCUGGUCUUCUUGUGAAACCGUGGUUCCUUUGCUAAGGCAAUGGCACCCGUGUUGUCACAGAACAAGGUUAUUGGAUUCAGUGCGCUUGGCACCACUCCAAGAUCCGUCAUGAACUGCUUCAUCCAGACACCCUCCUUAGCCGCCUCCGGGGCAGCCAUGUACUCCGCUUCACAUGUAGAAUCUGCUACGACGCUUUGCUUGGACCUGCACCAGCUUACGCACCCCAUUAAGAAUAAAUACGUAUCCGGUUUGCGACUUAGAGUCGUCCGGAUCUGUGUCAAAGCUUGCAUCGACGUAACCUUUUACGGCGAGCUCUUCAUCACCUCCAUACACGAGAAACAUCUCCUUAGUCCUUUUCAGUUACUUUAGGAUAUUCUUGACCGCUGUCCAGUGAUCCACUCCUGGAUUACUCUGGAACCUACCUGCCAUACUUAUGGCCAGGCUAACAUCCGGUCUAGUGCACAUCAUUGCAUACAUGAUAGAACCUAUGGCUGAAGCAUAGGGGACGGAGCGCAUAUGCUCUCUGUCUUCAUCAGUUGCUGGGCACUGAGUCUUACUCAAUCUUGUACCUUGUAAAACUGGCAAGAACCCUUUCUUGGACUGUUCCAUUUUGAACCUCUUCAAAACUUUAUCAAGGUAUGUGCUUUGUGAAAGUCCUAUCAGGCGUUUUGAUCUAUCCCUAUAGAUCUUAAUGCCUAGAAUGUAAGCAGCUUCUCCUAGGUCCUUCAUAGAGAAACUUUUAUUCAAGUAAUCCUUUAUGCUCUCCAAAAACUCUACCUUGUUUCCAAUCAGCAAUAUGUCAUCCACAUAUAAUAUUGGAAACGCCACAGAGCUCCCACUCACUUUCUUGUAAAUACAAGAUGCUCCAACCACUUGUAUAAACCCAAAUGCUUUGAUCACCUUAUCAAAGCGCUUGUUCCAACUCCGAGAUGCUUGCACCAGUCCAUAAAUGGAUCGUUGGAGCUUGCACACCUUGUUAGCAUUCUUAGGAUCGACAAAACCUUCGGGUUGCAUCAUAUACAAUUCUUCCUUAAGGAAACCAUUAAGGAACGCCGUUUUGACAUCCAUCUGCCAGAUUUCAUAAUCAAAAAAUGCAGCUAUUGCUAACAUGAUUCUGACGGACUUAAGCAUCGCUACGGGUGAGAAUGUCUCAUCGUAGUCAACUCCUUGAACUUGCGAAAAACCCUUUGCCACAAGUCAAGCUUUAUAAACGGUCACAUUGCCGUCAGCGUCCGUCUUCCUCUUAAAGAUCCAUUUGUUCUGAAUAGCCUUGCGGCCCUCAGGCAGUACCUCCAAAGUCCACACUUUGUUCUCAUACAUGGAUCCUAUCUCGGACUUCAUGGCUUCUAGCCAUUUGUUGGAAUCCGGGCCCACCAUUGCUUCUUCAUAAUUUGCAGGUUUAUUGUUGUCCAACAACAUGAUUGAUAAGACGGGAUUACCGUACCACUCUGGAGCAGCACGUGAUCUCGUCGACCUGCGUGGUUCGACAGAAACUUGAACUGGAGUUUCAUGAUCAACAUCAUUAACUACCUCCUCAACCGGCGUCGCAAUGACAGAGGUUUCCCCUUGCCCCGCGCCACCAUCUAGAGGGAUGAGAGGUUCGACAACCUCGUCAAGUUCUAUCUUCCUCCCACUCAAUUCUCUCGAGAGAAACUCCUUCUUGAGAAAAGUUCCAUUUUUAGCAACAAACACUUUGCCCUCGGAUUUGAGAUAGAAGGUGUACCCAACUGUCUCUUUUGUGUAACCUAUGAAGACGCACUUUUCCGCUUUGGGUUCCAGCUUUUCAGGCUGAAGCUUUUUGACAUAAGCAUCACAUCCCCAAACUUUAAGAAAUGACAACUUUGGCCUUUUGCCAUAACACAGUUCGUAUGGUGUCGUCUCAACGGAUUUUAAUGGUGCCCUGUUUAAAGUGAAUGCACCUGUUUCUAAUGCAUAACCCCAAAACGAUAACGGCAAAUCGGUAAGAGACAUCAUAGAUCGCACCAUCUCUAAUAAAGUACGAUUACGACGUUCGGACACACCAUUACACUAUGGUCUUCCAGACGGUGUUAACUGUGAAACAAUUCCACAUUGUCUUAAGUGAGCACCAAACUCGAAACUCAGAUAUUCACCCCCACGAUCAGAACGUAGGAACUUGAUCUUCUUGUUACGAUGAUUUUCAACUUCACUGUGAAAUUGCUUGAACUUUUCAAAUGUUUCAGACUUGUGCUUCAUCAAGUAGACAUAACCAUAUCUACUCAAAUCGUCAGUGAAGGUGAGAAAAUAACGAUAUCCGCCGCGUGCCUCCACGCUCAUCGGACCACACACAUCGGUAUGUAUGAUUUCCAACAAGUCACUAGCACGCUCCAUUGUUCCGGAGAUCGGAGUCUUAGUCAUCUUGCCCAUGAGGCAUGGUUCGCAUGUGUCAAGUGAAUCAAAGUCAAGUGACUCCAAAAGUUCAUCAGCAUGGAGUUUUUUCAUGCGCUUUACACCAAUAUGACCUAAGCGGCAGUGCCACAAAAAUAUGGCGCUAUCAUUGUUAACUCUAACUCAUUUGGUCUCAAUGUUAUGUAUGUGUGUAUCGCUAUCAAGAUUCAAUAUGAAAAAUCCUCUCACAUUGGGUGCAUGACCAUAAAAGAUGUUACUCAUAGAAAUAGAACAACCAUUAUUCUCUGACUUAAAAGAGUAACCGUCUCGCAAUAAACAAGAUCCAGAUAUAAUGUUCAUGCUCAACGCAGGCACUAAAUAACAAUGAUUUAAGUUCAUCACUAAUCCUGAUGGUAACUGAAGUGAAACUGUGCCGACGGCGAUUGCAUCAACCUUGGAACCAUUUCCUAUGCGCAUCGUCACUUCAUCUUUCGCCAGCCUUCGUCUAUUCCGCAGUUCCUGUUUCGAGUUGCAAAUAUGAGCAACAGAACCGGUAUCGAAUACCCAGGCACUACUACGAGAGCCGGUUAAGUACACAUCAAUAACUUGUAUAUCAAAUAUACCUGAUUUUUCUUUGGCCGCCUUCUUAUCUACCAGAUACUUGGGGCAAUUGCGCUUCCAGUGAUCCGUACCCUUGCAAUAGUAACACUCCGUUUCAGGCUUAGGUCCAGCUUUGGGUUUCUUCGUCGGAUUGGCAACAGGCUUGCCGCUCUUCUUUGAAUUACCCUUCUUGCCUUUGCCGUUUCUCUUGAAACUAGUGGUCUUAUUCACCAUCAACACUUGAUGCUCUUUACGGAGUUCAGACUCUGCGACUUUCAGCAUCGCAAACAACUCGUCGGGAGACUUGUUCAUCCCUUGCAUGUUGUAGUUCAACACAAAGCCUUUAUAGCUUGGCGGCAGUGAUUGAAGGAUUCUGUCAGUGAUAGCCUCUUGCGGGAGUUCAAUCCCCAGCUUAGCUAGACGGUUUGAGUACCCAGACAUUUUGAGCACAUGUUCACUGACAGACGAGUUUUCCUCCAUCUUGCAAGCAUAGAAUUUAUCGGAGGUCUCAUACCUCUCGAUCCGGGCAUUCUUCUGAAAGAUAAACUUCAACUCCUGGAACAUCUCAAAUGCUCCAUGACGCUCAAAGCGACGUUGAAGUCCCGGUUCUAAGCCAUACAAGACUGCACAUUGAACUACUGAGUAGUCCUCCUUACGUGCUAACCAAGCGUUCUUAACAUCCUGAUCAGCCGUAGCGGGUGGUUCAUCUCCUAGCGCAGCAUUAAGGACAUAAUCCUUCUUCCCAGCUUGUAAGAUUAGCUUAAGAUUACGAGCCCAGUCUACAAAGUUGCUUCCAUCAUCUUUCAACUUAGCUUUCUCUAGGAACGUAUUAGAAUUCAGGGUGACUGUCGCGUGAGCCAUGAUCUACAACACAAAUAUAUUCAAAGUGGACUUAGACUAUGUUCAAGGUAAUUAGAGUUUAACUUAAUCAAAAUUAUACGCUAAACUCCCACUCAAAAAGUACAUCUCUCUAGUCAUAUGAGUGGUUCAUGAUCCACUUACACUAGCUCAAGUCCGAUCAUCACGUGAGUUGAGUAUAGUUUCAGUGGUAAGCAUCCCUAUGCUAAUCAUAUCAUCUAUAUGAUUCAUGAUCGUCCUUUCGGUCUCAUGUGUUCCGAGGCCAUGUCUUCACAUGCUAGGCUCGUCAAGCUUAACCCGAGUGUUCCGCGUGCGCAACUGUUUUGCACCCGUUGUAUGUGAACGUUGAGUCUAUCACACCCGAUCAUCACGUGGUGUCUCAAAACGAUGAACUGUAGCAACGGUGCAUAGUCGGGGAGAACACAAUUUCGUCUUGAAAUUUUAGUGAGAGAUCAGCUCAUAAUGCUACCGUCGUUCUAAGCAAAAUAAGGUGCAUAAAAGGAUUAACAUCACAUGCAAUUCAUAAGUGACAUGAUAUGGCCAUCAUCACGUGCUUCUUGAUCUCCAUCACCAAAGCACCGGCACGAUCUUCUUGUCACCGGCGCCACGCCAUGAUCUCCAUCAACAUGUUGCCAUCGAGGUUGUCAUGCUACUCAUGCUAUUACUACUAAAGCUACAUCCUAGCAAAAUAGUAAACGCAUCUGCAAGCACAAACAUUAAUAUAAAGACAACCCUAUGGCUCCUCCCGGUUGCCGUACCAUCGACGUGCAAGUCGAUAUUAUCUAUUACAACAUGAUCAUCUCAUACAUCCAAUAUAUCACAUCACAAGCAUACCCUGCAAAAACAAGUUAGACGUCCUCUAAUUUUGUUGUUGCAUGUUUUACGUGGUGACCACGGGUAUCUAGUAGGAUCGCAUCUUACUUACGCAAACACCACAACGGAGAUAUAUGAGUUGCUAUUUAACCUCAUCCAAGGACCUCCUCGGUCAAAUCCGAUUCAACUAAAGUUGGAGAAACCGACACUUGCCAGUCAUCUUUGAGCAACGGGGUUACUCGUAGCGAUGAAACCAGUCUCUCGUAAGCGUACGAGUAAUGUCGGUCCAAGCCGCUUCAAUCCAACAAUACCGCGGAAUCAACAAAAGACUAAGGAGGGCAGCAAAACGCACAUCACCGCCCACAAAAACUUUUGUGUUCUACUCGAGAAGACAUCUAUGCAUGAACCUAGCUCAUGAUGCCACUGUUGGGGAACGUCGCAUGGGAAACAAUUUUUUUCCUACGCGCACGAAGACCUAUCAUGGUGAUGUCCAUCUACGAGAGGGGAUGAGUGAUAUACGUACCCUUGUAGAUCAUACAACAGAAGCGUUAGUGAACGCGGUUGAUGUAGUGGAACGUCCUCACAUCCCUCAAUCCGCCCCGCGAACAAUCCCGCGAUCAGUCCCACGAUCCAGUACCGAACGGACGUCACCUCCGCGUUCAGCACACGUACAGCUCGACGAUGAUCUCGGCCUCCUUGAUCCAGCAAGAGAGACGGAGAGGUAGAAGAGUUCUCCGACAGUGUGACGGCGCUCCGAAGGUUGGUGAUGACCAUGUCUCAGCAGGGCUCCGCCCGAGCUCCGCAGAAACGCGAUCUAGAGGAAAAACCGUGGAGGUAUGUGGUCGGGCUGCCGUGGAAAAGUCGUCUCAAAUCAGCCCUAAAACCUCCGUAUAUAUAGGUGGGAGGGAGGGGACCUUGCCAUGGGGCUCAAGGAGCCCCAAGGGGGUUGGCCGAGCCAAGGGGGGAAGGCUCCCCCCCCCCAAAACCGAGUUGGACUUGGUUUGGUGGGUGGGAGUCCUUCCUUCCCUUCCCACCUCCUCCUUUUUUUUCUCUUUGAUUUUCUUUCCUAGGCGCAUAGGGCCCUUUUGGGCUGUCCCACCAGCCCACUAAGGGCUGGUGCGCCACCCUCAAGGCCUAUGGGCUUCCCCGGGGUGGGUUGCCCCCCNNNNNNNNNNNNNNNNNNNNNNNNNNNNNNNNNNNNNNNNNNNNNNNNNNNNNNNNNNNNNNNNNNNNNNNNNNNNNNNNNNNNNNNNNNNNNNNNNNNNUUCUAAUGUCAAGUAUCUUUUCCUUCGACCGUGAGAUUGUGCAACUCCCGGAUACCGUAGGAGUGCUUUGGGUGUAUCAAACGUCACAACGUAACUGGGUGACUAUAAAGGUGCACUACGGGUACCUCCGAAAGUGUCUGUUGGGUUGGUACGAAUCGACAUCGGUAUUUGUCACUCCGUGUGACGGAGAGGUAUCUCUGGGCCCACUCGAUAGAACAUCAUCAUGAGGUCAAUGUGACUAAGGAGUUCGUCACACGAUGACGUGUGACGGAACGAGUAAAGAGACUUACUGGUAACGAGAUUGAACUAGGUAUAGGUAUACGGACGAUCGAAUCUCGGGCAAGUUCUAUACCGACAGACAAAGGGAAUCGUAUACGGGAUUGAUUGAAUCCUUGACAUCGUGGUUCAUCCGAUGAGAUCAUCGUGGAGCAAGUGGGAGCCACCAUGGGUAUCCAGACCCCGCUGAUAGUUAUUGGCCGGAGAGGCGUCUCGGUCAUGUCUGCCUGUCUCCCGAACCCGUAGGGUCUACACACUUAAGGUUCGAUGACGCUAGGGUUAUAGGGAAUUGUUAUACAAGGUUACCGAAAGUUGUUAGGAGUCCCGGAUGAGAUCCCGGACGUCACAAGGAGCUCCGGAAUAGUCCGGAGGUAAAGAUUGAUAUAUCGGACGGAUGGUUUCGAAUACCGGAAGUGUUUCGGGCAUCACCGGUAACGUACCGGGACCACCGGAGGUGGCCCCGGGGGUCCACCGAAGGGGGGCAACGACCCCGGGAGGUAAGGUGGGCCAAGUGGGGAAGGGAACAAGCCCCUAGGUGGGCUGGUGCGCCUCCCCACUCAGCCCAAUGCGUGGGGGAGAGAAAAGGGGGGGGGGCAAACCCUAAGCUAGGUGGGCCUAAGGCCCACUAGGGGUGCCCCCAUCUAGGGCUGCCCCCCUCCCCCCAGGAGAGGGAAACCCUCAAGGGGGCGCAGCCCCUCCCUCCCCCUAGAUAUAGUGGGCACUUUUGGCCAUUGGAGAUCAGACUUUUGCCUCUUUCUCAGCGCAGCCCUGCCCUUCUUCCUCAUCCUCUCUGCCGGUGCUUGGCGAAGCCCUGCCGGGAGACCUCGUCUCUCCAUCGACACCACGUUGUCGUGCUGCUGUAGUUCUUCCCCAACCUCUCGCUCCUCCUUGCUGGAUCAAGGUGCGGGAGACGUCACUGGGCUGCACGUGUGUUGAACGCGGAGGUGCCGUAGUUCGGCACUAGAUCAGAAUCGCUGCGAGUACGACUCCAUCAACCGCGUUCUAGCAACGCUUCCGCUUAGCGAUCUUCAAAGGUAUGAAGAUGCUCUUACCCCUCUCUCGUUGCUGGUCUCUCCAUAGGAAGAUCUGAAUAUGCGUAGGAAAAUUUUGAAUUUAUGCUACGUUAACCAACACAUCGUUGGAUGGUUUUCGGAGUUGAUGUGAGAGCCCGAUGCCGACGUUCCAGAAGAUUCCCCUUUUCUUCCCGUUUUCGUCGUGUGUCUAUUUUCUUUUGUCGCAUCAUCAUCGCAUCAUGUGCAUCAUUAGCAUUGCAUCGGCACCCUGUUGCCGCCAUUUUUCAAAACUUGCAUCCGUUGUUAGUUGCCGGUUCACGUCGUUGUCUGUUCUGAGCCCGACCGCACACGCACGCGCCCGCGGCAGCAUCAAAACCCUGUAUUAAAAAGUGUGCAUAAAACUUUCUCUGAUCGGGGUGAAACUUGGCUUGCGGUCGUGAUUAGUUAUAGCUAGGCCGCCUGUCGAAUUUCGUCGCGAUCGGAGUCCGUCUGGUACCCGAACGGUCGACCGUAGCGGCACCGUCUUCGGUGUAUCAUCGGACGUUUUUCGUUGUUUUAAAAAUCGCGUUGUCGUGCCGCACCUUUUCCCUCUCGUCCCCGGCUAGCCACUCCACACAGCCCAUCCAAUCCAUUCCCGUGUCCGUGACUGUCCGUUCACGAUUCCGUGGGCGAAAACGGAUCCUGAUUCGGGUAACCCUAACCCCAUUUGUCUAUAAAUAGACCCCCUCCUUAAUUUUAGGCAGCCAACCCCCCUCCACCUCGAUAUCUGUGCCACCCCAACAGCCAGCCGCCACCACUCCCUCUGCCUCUCCUCUCUCCUCCCGCGCCAGGGCCCACCAGGCCCAUCUGGAGCCCGCCCUGGGCCCGAAACCCUAAUCCUAGCGGAGCUCCCCUCCCAUGGCAGCCGUCCCUCGCCCCGCAGCCGCGUUGCCUCCCACAGCUACCCGUCGUCGUGCCGCCUGCUCUGAUACCAACUUGUCGCACCCAAGACGCUACCCUAUCCUCAAUUUGGCACGAAGGCCUCGUCAGGGAUAGAAACGCAUCUCGUCGUGUCGCAAGAAUGGAUAUCGUUACAAGUACAUGUACUGAAAAGAUGAGAUAUAUAAUGGAAUUGGCUUACACUCGCCACAAGCUACAUCGGAGUCAGCACAGUACAUUACAUAAUCAUCAAGAGUAAGAGCAGGGUCCGACUACGGACGAAAACAAACGAUAAAAGAAGAACGACGUCCAUCCUUGCUAUCCCAGGCUGCCGGCCUGGCACCCAUCCUAGAUCGAAGAAGAAGAAGAAGAAGCAACUCCAAAUGUACAAUCAACGCGCUCGCGUCAAGUAACCUUUACCUGUACCUGCAACUGGUGUUGUAGUAAUCUUUGAGCCACAGGGGACUGAGCAAUCUCAUUUCCAAAGGUAUCAAGACUAGCAAAGCUUAAUAGGUGAGACAUGGUUAAGUGGUGAGGUUGCAGCAGCGGCUAUCAUAUAUUUAUUGGCUAAACUUAUGAGUACAAGAAAUAAGAGGGGGGAGAUCUAUGCAUAGCGGACGUGAGCUACGAAUGAUCAAAUGAAUGAUCCUGAACACCUACCUACGUCAGACAUAACGCCACUGUGUCCUCGAUCGGAGUAAGAACUCACGAAAUAGACAGUCACGGUUACGCACACAGUUGGCAUAUUUUAAUUAAGUUAACUUCAAGUUAUCUAGAACCAGUGUUAAACAAAGUUUCCACGUUGCCACAUUACCGCGGGCACGGCUUUCCGAAAAGAUUUAACCCUGCAGGGGUGCUCCAACUAGUCCAUCACAAAUUACCACAAGCCGCAUAGAAAUCCUCAAUCACGAAGCUCGUGAUCUCGUCCGAUUCCCUAGUGGAAAACCUCAACUCUGAGAUUACCCAAAGCAUCACCGGAAUCCCGAUGCACAAGAUAUUCCGUCAAAGGUAAAACUAAUCCAGCAAGGCCACCCGACGUGUCAACGAUCCCGAUAGGAGUCGCGUACCUCGUUCUCAGGACACGACGGAUGAGCUAGACGUCGGGAUCGCUAAACCUCCAAGUGACCAGACGGGCGCCAGACAUCGCUCAGGUGGGACCAACACUCAUGAGGAGCACUGGCCCGGGGGUUGAUUAAAUUAUCCUCAGGGUCCGGAAAGUCCCUAUGCAAUUUCAUUAGGUUAGUAAGCAAAUGUAGUACCAAAGUUGGGCCUUGCCAGACCAGUCUUAAUAUAAAACGAAUUAUCAAGGGGGUCCCCAUAACAACCCCGAUCGUGUUAGGAGCGCUCGAUUAUGGAACAUAACACCGGUAGCCGAAAACUAAGGGGGCAAAGGUGGAACAAAACACCAGGCUAGAAAGGCCGAGCCGUCCACCUUUUACCAAGAAUAUAGGUGCAUUAAAAUUAAAUAGAAAUAAUAUGGUGAUAUAACAAGGAACCCAUGAUUUCACAUGGAAGCGAUUGUACCUGCAACUAGCAACGCUAACACAAGGUUAAGCAAGUAGUAAAAUAGCCAAUCAGUGGUUUGCUAGGUUGAACAGGUUGAGAGUUUCAUGGCAUUGUUGUGAGGCUGAUAUUUAACAUGUGGUAGGCAACGAGACAUAAUCGAUAGAAACGGUAAAACUAGCAUGGCAAUGAUAGUAAUGGUAUCUGGGGAAAUGGUCAUCUUGCCUGAGAUCCCGCUUGGAAGAAGAAUGCCUUCGUGAAGCAGACGAACCGACGUAGUCGAACGGGUCCUCACAAUCUGGCACGCGUGCGGAGCUCUUCCGACACGCUUACGGAACUCUAUCGAGACGAAGCAAACCGGAAACACAAAUCAACACACGAUAUUCACCACACGAUGCACAACAGAUAUGAUGCAUGAGCAGCUGAAUACAUGCAAGACACGACAUGACAAUUCACACAAUCAAACACUAUGCAUUAAGUGAAGUUCAAUAUGCAACGAGUUGCAUAUUGACGAAACUCCAUGUUAAUUAGUUAGUUCUAUCCCGAUUAGGUACACGACAAUAUUAAAUGUGGUUAAACAAGGCAAAAGGUGAAGCGUAAUUAAACUACCUAUCUAGGCAUUUUAAGUGAGGUCGGAAAUGACAUAUAGCAUCUCCGAAACGACCUCACAUGUUAAUUUACAAUUCUGACCAUAUCUGUACUAACACAUUUAAUUAGUUGUUAAGCAGCAAAACAAAUAGGUUCACGUGAUUCUACGCGUCAUUUCAAUCAAACUACACAUAGAGAUCAUCUCCAACGGAGCUACGGAUCAAAAGAUACGGGCACCGCAAGAUAUGAUGGCAUGAAUGCAAUAUGUGUGCAACGACGGUCACGAGCACUUCAAAACAUACAACCAACAAACAAAAAUGAAACUACACGAGAUUCUAAGCAAGUUUCUUAUAGGACACGAUCAUAUCGGAGCUAUGGUUCAACAUCUACGAGCAAAACAAGAAAUCACUACAAUCUGCCAAAAUCAGCCACAUAGCAUUUUCUACACCCCACAACUACGAGCUACACAACUCAAAUAUAAUCAACCAAGGCAUGACACGAAAGAGGGCAAGAAGCACUACUACAAACAACUAACAACAACUAGCAUGGCAUCAUGGAUCACUAGGGAACAAACAACUAACAACAACUAGCAUGGCAGCAAAGAUCACUAGGGNNNNNNNNNNNNNNNNNNNNNNNNNNNNNNNNNNNNNNNNNNNNNNNNNNNNNNNNNNNNNNNNNNNNNNNNNNNNNNNNNNNNNNNNNNNNNNNNNNNNACGGGCGGCGCGGCAAUGAAUUUUAAAACACCGACACACGUCCGACGAAUAACCAAAGACGGUGCCGCUACAGUCGACCGUUCGGGUACCAGACGGACUCCGAUCGCGACGAAAUUCGACAGGCGGCCUACCUAAAAUAAAAUAACACCACACGUCAAAUCUCAACCUAAUCAGAGAAAGUUUUACGCACACUUUAAAAACAGGGUUACGACGGUGCCGCGGGCGCGUGCGUGUGCGGUCGGGAUCAGAACGGUCAACGACGAGAACCGGCAACUAACUACGGAUGCAAGUUUCGAAAACUAGCGGCAACGGGAUGCCGAUGCAAUGCAGAUGAUGCGCAUGAUGCGAUGAAGAUGAGACGAAAGAAAAUAGACACACGACGAAAACGGAAAGAAAAGGGGAAUCUUCAGGAACGUCGGCAUCGGGCUGUCACAACUAAGGGGAGGUGUGUGAUCAUGAGAUAUUUCAACCCAUGAUUUCUUCUUUGAGCCAUCUUGGUUUGGAUUUCACCUAAAGCUUUUCCUAUGGGUUGUUGCUAUCAUGGUGCUUGUCAUUAUUCCAAGUUCUCAAUGUAUCCUCUUGGUGUAAGAAAUUGUUCAUAUCUUGUUUCUCCCAAUCAAUUAGUGGCUGGUUGUCACUUCAUUAGUUUGAAAAGGUUUCCAUAAGCCCACUACUUUCUUGUUCUUUUUGUUGAUUGUUUUUCCAACAACUUCGUUCAAUUCUUCUCGCAAGGGUGCUUGUCAAGUUCAUUUGAGAUAGUAGUUGUCAUUCUCUCUUCGUUCUCUUCUUCCGUAUGAGCUAGUUCAUAUUCUCUUCUUCCGGAGGCAUUGUGUUGUUGCUCUUUUGGGUCUAUUAUGUUGUUCUAUCAAGAUCAUGGUGUUCCCUUGCUCUAUUUACCUUUUUGUUGUGAAUAUUGUCUAUUUCUUCCACCUUUUCGAAUUUUGUUGUCCCAUUUUCCUACCGAAGUGCUACCGAAAUUUUCCGUGAAUUCUUGCUUCUUUCUCAUAUCAUUCCUCAUCGCCUAGCAACUUUCAAGGAUCGUUGGUUCACUCGUUUGUCAAAGAAGCAACUAAAUUUUUACCUCUUGUUCUUUCUCAUCCUCUCCCCCUUUCAUUCUUGGAUCUCGGGGCGAGAUCCUCUUGUAGUGUAGGAGAGUUGUGAGAGCCCGAUGCCGACGUUCCAGAAGAUUCCCCUUUUCUUCCCGUUUUCGUCGUGUGUCUAUUUUCUUUUGUCGCAUCAUCAUCGCAUCAUGUGCAUCAUUAGCAUUGCAUCGGCACCCUGUUGCCGCCAUUUUUCAAAACUUGCAUCCGUUGUUAGUUGCCGGUUCACGUCGUUGUCUGUUCUGAGCCCGACCGCACACGCACGCGCCCGCGGCAGCAUCAAAACCCUGUAUUAAAAAGUGUGCAUAAAACUUUCUCUGAUCGGGGUGAAACUUGGCUUGCGGUCGUGAUUAGUUAUAGCUAGGCCGCCUGUCGAAUUUCGUCGCGAUCGGAGUCCGUCUGGUACCCGAACAGUCGACCGUAACGGCACCGUCUUCGGUCUAUCGUCGGACAUUUUUCGUUGUUUUAAAAAUCGCUAUGUCAUGCCGCACCUUUUCCCUCUCGUCCCCGGCUAGCCACUCCACACAGCCCAUCCAAUCCAUUCCCGUGUCCGUGACUGUCCGUUCACGAUUCCGUGGGCGAAAACGGAUCCUGAUUCGGGUAACCCUAACCCCAUUUGUCUAUAAAUAGACCCCCUCCUUAAUUUUAGGCAGCCAACCCCCCUCCACCUCGAUAUCUGUGCCACCCCAACAGCCAGCCGCCACCACUCCCUCUGCCUCUCCUCNNNNNNNNNNNNNNNNNNNNNNNNNNNNNNNNNNNNNNNNNNNNNNNNNNNNNNNNNNNNNNNNNNNNNNNNNNNNNNNNNNNNNNNNNNNNNNNNNNNNCUCCCACCCACCAAACCAAGUCCAACUCGGUUUGGGGGGGGAGCCUUCCCCCCUUGGCUCGGCCGACACCCUUGGGGCUCCUUGAGCCCCAAGGCAAGGUCCCCUCCCUCCCACCUAUAUAUAGGGAGGUUUUAGCGCUGAUUUGAGACGACUUUUCCACGGCAGCCCGACCACAUACCUCCACGGUUUUUCCUCUAGAUCGCGUUUCUGCGGAGCUCGGGCGGAGCCCUGCUGAGACAAGGUCAUCACCAACCUCCGCAGCGCCGUCACGCUGCCGGAGAACUCUUCUACCUCUCCAUCUCUCUUGCUGGAUCAAGAAGGCCGAGAUCAUCGUCGAGCUGUACGUGUGCUGAACGCGGAGGUGCCGUCCGUUCGGUACUAGAUCGUGGGACUGAUCGCGGGAUUGUUCGCGGGGCGGAUCGAGGGACGUGAGGACGUUCCACUACAUCAACCACGUUCACUAACGCUUCUGCUGUACGAUCUACAAGGGUACGUAGAUCACUCAUCCCCUCUCGUAGAUGGACAUCGCCAUGAUAGGUCUUCGUGCGCGUAGGAAAUUUUUUGUUUCCCAUGCGACGUUCCCCAACAGUUUGUACUUCGAGAUUUUUACCCAAGAUCUCUCUUCUUUUUCUAAAUCAGAACCUCCUGUUUUGCCUUCCAACCAAUAUUCUCUCCUUUUUUUGGUUAAUAUUAACAUUCGAUACGCUGAUCUAACAGAGAAAUUCCUAGAUCAUUCCAAAGUCCAUCCCCGUGUGUCUUCCAUCUCCACCGUGGGAAGUGGUAUUUGAAUAAGAAUGUCCCUAUCAAGUGCUAAUAGGUGUUCAUCUAGGGCGUGGUUUGUUGCCCAAAAAAUUGCAACCAGGUCUAAUUGGGCCACGAAAUGUGUUUGGUGGCGAAUGCAGUGGGCUGGCUCGCAUCCGCAUGAAUCUUAAAGCAGCCCUCAGCCUGGCUCGCUAGAAACUACCGAAUUGUCAGUUUCUAGCGAGCCAGGUUGAGGGUGAUGCAAGCUCACACGCGGGGAGGGGAGAAGCGAUCGGGGGUGGCGGGAGAUGGAAAUCGGGCGCGGCGGCUCGAUGCCUAAUAUAGGCUCACCCCCACCCACACAUUUACUCGAUCACCACUACUUCUAGGACAAACACUUCCUCUAGCCUCACCACCACUGAUGGCAGCGACUCGGAUUUGUGCAAGUGACGGCGGAGGCCACGACAGAUCCGGGAGUAGGAGCUGGUGCUGCUCUUCCCUGUGGCCAUUGUCUAGUCGUCCUUGACUCAGCCAUGCCCCCCCCCCCCCCCCCCCCGUCGUCGAGCUCACAUCCAGUGCCGGUAAGCAACACCCUUCUCCCCUAUGAUAGGUACAUUGUCAGGUCGUUAGGCAAGGUGUAGGAUUGAUUUGCCCAUUGCUCAACACACCCUCGAUGUGGACUAGGUUAUGGAUGCACGAAUGAGACUGGUACUUCAGGCAGCAACACUGAUAGCUAUGAUUCGGGCAUGGGUCUUUUUGAUGCACAAGAGGGUUGUUCGUCGUGGUGAGAGACCUAUCAUCGGAUAUGCUCCAAUGCUUAUUCGGGAGCAGGUGAGGAUCACCAAUCUUAACUACAUAUACAACUACAACGACACACUAGUGUGGAUACUUAGAAUGAAAAGAGCACCAUUUUCCAAACGUGUCCAUACCUUCAGGAUUAGGGGCUUCUAGAAGAUAGCAUUCACACUAGUGUGGAAGAGAAAAUGGCCAUUUUCCUUCACGUUAUUGGUCAUAACCAGAGGUUUAGGGUUAUCCACAACAAGUUUACCAGAUGAGGGGAGACCAUCUCAAGGUACUUCAAGCAAGUGAUGUAUGCCAUUGGGGAGCUCAAAGGCAGAUGAUCGAGUCACCAACUGGCCGAACUCCUACCAAGAUCCGCACAAGCCCAAGAUGGUAUCCAUACUUCAAGGUGAGCAUUGUAGUAUGUAGUUCAUUGCUUUCUAUGCUUGGAUUGUUCGAGGUGAGCACUAACACAAUCUUGUAUUGCCAUUUCAGGAUUGCAUUGGGAAAUAGAUGGUACUCAUGUCGCUGCCAGAGUGCAGAGGUAACAAGUUGCAACAUACAAGGGGGAUCAAGCACCACACAAACUAGAAUGUGCUUGCUGCUCUUGACUUUGAUCUGAAGUUCACCUAUGUGAUGCCUGGCUGGUAAGGGUCGGCACAUAAUGCUACCAUACUCAAUGACAGCAAGAGUCGUCCUAGUGGAAUCAGCAUCCUUGAUGGCAAGUUCUACCUAGAAGAUGCUGGCUAUGCAUGUUGGCCAUGUGUUCUUCCACCCUUCAGAAAGACCAGAUAUCACCUGAACGAGUUAUGUGGUAGGAACUAUCCUAGGACUACAUAGGAGCUGUUAAAUCUCAGACACUCCAACCCUAGAGUAAUUAUUGAGAGGGCAUUCAGAGCUCUGAAGAACUGGUUCAAGAUCCUGGAUCAGAAGCCAUUCCAUCCUUACCCUAUCCAGGUUAAGCUUGUAUCUGCAUGUUGCAUUCUGCAUAACUGGAUCCUGCAAUGGGGUUGUGAUGAAAUGGUGCAUGAGAAGGGAGAUGUGACGCGUGACGAUGUUGACCUCGGUGGCCAUGGUGUUGAGGCAUUUGAUAAUGGAGAACAAAAGGCUGGAGUGGACACAUGCAUUGUGGGAUAACAGAGGUCAAACAAGGAUCUGACGAAGAAAACGAGCAAGAGCAGCAACAGAAGAGGAAGCAACAGCAGCAUCAGAAGAGGAAAACGAACAGGAGUAGCAGCAAGAGAAGAAGAGAUAUUAGGAAGAGGAAGAGGAGGGAUGAUGAACUUCCCCAUUCAACCAUUUGCCUCUUAAUAAUGUGUACCCCCAUUUGAGUAGUUAGGACGAACCAUAAUUUGUUUCGUAGCUAGGAGUAAAACUGUUAAAAUCGUGUUUCGUAAGGUCAUCACUAGUGAGAAGUGAUGACAUCAUCUAAUACAGGUUGCAAUCAAACAACGUAUUCUAUGUGUAGGUAAUGCUAUGCGGACAAUCAAACAACGGAUGAAAACUAGGCCAUGUUUGUUUUAUAAGUCCUAGGACUUUUUUAAGUCCCAACUUAUAAGUCAUAAGUUCCUACCUGUUUGUUUACAGGGACUUAUAAGUCCCAAGUCCCUACCUGUUUGUUUACAGGAACUUAUAAGUCCAUGUUGCACCUAAUAAUACACUUGUUCAUAUGGAUCGUCAUCAGGCAACGCGUACGGCACACAGGAUAAGCACCGCUGCAACGAGGCUCAGGAGAGGGCCUGUCCGGCGAUUGGAGGCACCGCUGCAACGAACCGAGGCAGAACGAACCGAGGCGGGGCGGCGGCGGGGCGGCGAACCGAGGCAGAACGAACCGAGGCAGGGCGGCGACGGGGCGUGCGGCGGGGCGGCGGCGAUGAUUGGACCGAGAGGCGGGGCGGCGUGCGGGGAACGAGCCUGGAGCGACGCGGGGUAGGUCCGGCCCGGGAUAAGUCCCAAUAAGCUCCUCCCUGAGAGUCUUAUUUGAUAAGUCUCAAAUCACCACAAUAAGUCCCUUGUGUUUGGUUUAGGUGGGACUUAUAGGGACUUUUUUAAGUCCCUAAACCAAUAAGUCCCCGGAAACAAACACCCUCCUAGUCCCCUUAUCUUUACCUACUAAUAAAAAGCAAUUAAUGCUUCUGUCGUGCGUCAUUAAUAUUGUCCUUAAAAUUGGUAAAAAUACCCACCAAUGCCAUCCGUAAGUUAAAAAACGAUUCGUUGUCUGCAUCUAAUAAAUCGACCGUUCCUCUCCUUCAACAGGAACAGAUCCACCAUGAUAUCACAACAACACGGCCAUCCCAAGUGGUUGGAGAUGCGUGCUUAAAACCUGGAGACGCGGGUUCGAUCCCUCUCCAUCACACUUUUCUCUUUUCUCCCCCUAUUUUCUCUGUCGGCAACUGCGAGACUGGGCCGGUCCAGUAUGGCCUUGAGCACUUAUUUUUCUUAAUUAUUUCUUUUUGUUUUAUUUGAUAUAUUCUGAAUAUUUUAUUUAUAAAAAUCACCUAUAUAUGCAAACUUUGAUAAAAUGUUAAUCAUGCACUGAAGGAAUGCCAAAAUUGAAUAAAAAAAUCAUUAUAUAGAAAAAAGGUACAAUGCGUAAUGAAAAAUAACUAUAUAAUUUUUAAUUCUUUUUGAAUUUUUCGAUCAUGCAUUUAAAAAAUACUACAUGUGCAUAUAAAAAUGUUUCCAAUGUAUAAAAAACAUACACAAAAAAAUACAAUGUAUAUGUAAAAAAUUAUACAUAACAAGUUAAUAUGAAAAAAAAAUGCUAAUCAUGUACUUGGAAAAUAUGAAACACAUAUAAAAAAUAUUUCUGAUGUAUACGAAAAAAUAUAGAAUGUAUAUAAAAAACUAAAUAUCAAAACUAAAUAUGGUUUGAUAAAUUUUGACCAUGAAAUUAGAAAAUAUUAAACAUGUAAAUAUAAAAAUAUAUAAUGGCUUAACUUCUGAUUUUCAUAUUGUCUAAGCAUAUUUUUUUUCAACUGUGUAAGUAUAUAAUUUUUUUUAUAUCCAGUGUAACGUACGGGCCCUUUUGCUAGUAUAGCUAACCUAUAUAAGGGCAAACAAACAAUAUGUAGAUGAUGGUUUAUAGGCUCUUUUUCUUUUGCCAGACCCAUUUGAAAAGUCUAUAAGAAACGCUAAAAAUGAUGCGGGCAAUCAAACGCCCCUAAUGCAUGCACAUUCCAUCUUCUGUUCGGUUUGUCAAUUAGCUCACACACUAGGUCCGAGUGGUUUUCCUUUAUAAGGGUGCGAAGCAGCUAAAGCCUACAUGCAGACGACGUGGCGCAACGGCACCUUUGGAAAGCCUAUCUAACUUUGAGGCUCGAAUCAGAAUUCUAUCAAGCGCCCCACGCUCCCUUCCUGUACGGCUGUACCUACAGAAAAAAUAAUACAGAAGAGAUCCAAAAAUGUCCCUUCUCAGCAUUAAAUUAGGCGGACACUUGGUUGGACAGGGCAGGAGGACAUGUCCUCCCGCAUUCUCCAAGCCAUCCAUUCCGAAAUGCAAGCUAUACCAUACUUCAAAUGUAAAAACAAUUCAAGGGAAAGCAGUGAAACUGCUGCUUCAAGGAGAAAAUGAAAGACCGUGUCAGGCUAAAGUUCUCCCGCGGAACUCACAUUUGGUGACCUCUGACCGCUUGUUAGCUAAACCAAGGUGCCCUAGCCACAAAAUCAUGCAAUGCUAUGCGACGCAUAGCUUGUACUAUAUUGAAUCCAUACCACACAUUGUUGAUCGUUCCAGUAGCCCUCGCCAAUCACCGCUCCUCCAUCCGCGCGGCCAAUGCGACCCAUGCUGCUAGCUAGCUUCGGGUGGCCAACAACCGAUGCAUGCUUGCAAAAUGCCAAGCAGCAAUGCUCGGCCGUACGUACGUCAGCUCCCGUUGAGAAAAGUUGGAGUAGCGGCCUGCUCGUGGGCUAUAAGAUGGACAUGCAGUGCUCCGUCCAUUGCACCACAGAGCAACGCAACGCAACGCAACAAGUACUCCAAGAGAGCUAGUGGGUACGUUGUACCUGAUAGUCCCCAUGGCUUCCACGUCGAUGAGCUUCGUGGCCAUGGCGCUCCUCAUGGCCGCCAUGCUCCUUGCCGGCGGCGGCAACACGUGCCAUGCUGCGCGGCUCCUCGCCGACGUCCCGGCUUUGCCAGAACCGACGCUGCCAACCUUGCCCCCGGUGCCCGUCGUCCCUACAGUCCCCGCCGUGCCAGGCGGCGUCGUGCCGACCGUCCCGACGGUUCCCACCGUGCCAGGUGUGCCGACGGUGCCGAUGCCGACAGUACCCGGCGGAGUCGUGCCGACGGUACCCACCGUGCCGACCAUCCCGACGGUUCCCACCGUGCCGGGCGUGCCCACGGUACCCACCGUACCGGGUGUGCCCACGGUGCCGCUGCCGGCAGUACCCGGCGCCGUCGUGCCGACAGUGCCAACCGUGCCAGGCGUGCCAACGCUGCCUCUGCCGUCGAUGCCGACCAUCCCCGGCUUGCCUAACGUGCCACUGCCGCCGAUGCCGUCCAUCCCCGGUGACCUGCCCAAGCUGCCAGUACCACUGCCGCCGAUGCCAUCCAUCCCCGGCGACCUGCCAAAGCUGCCAGUGCCACUGCCGCCGAUGCCAUCCCUUCCCGAUCUGCCCAAGGUGCCACUGCCGCCGAUGCCAUCCCUACCCGACCUGCCCAAGGUGCCACUGCCCCCGACGAUGCCAUAGUUCCUCCUCAGAUCAGCCGACGCACCAGAGAUCCGUGCAUGCACAGGCGUGGAUGCCUGUGGCUGUGGGUAGCCAUAGUGCGUGUGGUCUACUAUUUGCCAGUGAAUUGGUGUGGAUGUGUACCGUGUACAACUUGCCUAUACCUGUCCCUUAUUGUGGAGGGGUAUUGCUCCAUUUAAACGUGUGUGCCACUGUAUAUUGUUUUCUUUCCAUUUGCAUCAACAUACAUGAUAUUGAUGUUCAUAUCAUAAGUUUCAAAAGCUUUGCUUUUACAUAUGUAUGUCAAAUUCAAAAGCUUACAUGCCGCCAGAGAGAGCUUCGAAUUAUGCGACUAUCAUCUACAUUUGGGAGAAAAAACGUAUAAAUGUAAUCAAUGUAUAUGCUUUAUAUGAGUUGCACUAGGAAUAAUAACCAAUGCAUUUUUGUGAUAAAUAAUAACCAAUGCAUUCAUAUAAUUGAUAUCUUAGGUUGUUAUUACUCCAUCCGUCUCAAAAUAUGGUGUUUAUUAUUUCAAACUCGCAUACUAAGGAGGAGUUAAAGAGAGUUCAUUUAGGCUCCAUUCAAUCCCAUCACUUGUACAGCUAUAGAUGCGUAAAGGGUCUCAAUCUAUGAUUUAUGGACGUACUACCUAUGUAAUCACAUCACAUACAUGUUCUAGCAUAAAUAUGCAUAUUUCACUUCUCACAUCUAUGUUAUCUUUGUCGCACUUCUAUAUUUGCUGAGUUACUAUUAGUGAAACUAUAAAUGUUGGUCCAAUUUUCUAAAUAAGAAACAACUUUGAACAUCGAUUACAUGCGCUUUCAGUGUUCGCCAUCAUUUAUUCCAAAAAUACAAAAAACUUCAAAUCUUAUUGCAACUAACAAAGUUAGUGAGCAGGGACUUAGCUCGUGUAUAACCGCUAAGGUACUUUUUAGUGGAGCCUCAAACUACCUGCACCCGUCUGGAUGGUUUGGACGUGUUUUGUCAUCUAACACGGGCUUGUAUAUGUCCGCGGGUCCAUCCGGACACCCUUUUCUUUGCAAAUUGGAGGCAAACUGGGGAGGGGGGGAGGCCUUUGCGGGAGUCAAGACAACAACCACAGCCACAUAGGAAUCCGACACACCCAGCCCAGUCGAAACCCCUUCCGAAACACGUGCCUCUAUUCUUUCAUCUUUCUCUACAUCUGUUUUCUCACUUGUCGCCGCUCUAUCAACCGGGCCACCCCGCAUCACCCUUCCCGGAACUCCGCGGCUCCGUCACCACCACUAUUAUAGCCAGGCUCCACACUGCUUCUCCUCCAUCACCGGUCCACACCACUCUCUGCCAACCGUAUAGGUACCCCCACCCUACGGUAGUCACAAUGUCCGACAAGUGUUCAUUGAAAUGCUCGUGCUAAAUUUUGUUCUCCCUUAUCCUUUGAAGCAAUGAAUUCAGAUAUGGAGUACAUGUACGAGCGUUAUGUUUAGUCAUCCAACGAGGAAGACUACUCGGAUGAGACGGUGAUGAUGCAGGCGGUCCUGGUAUAAGCGGAGUGUGCGAAAGAGCAUGUUCUCAAUUUCAAGGGAUUGAUCAAGAGUUGAUACGUUCAUUUUGCAUCAAAUUUUGUUACUGUUAUUUAUAGUGUUUUAUGCAUUUUUCCACUUGACAGAGUAAUCCUAAUGCCUUUUCUCUCAUAAUAUGUAAGGUUUACAUGAAGUGGGAGAAUGCUAGUAGAUGGAAUUCUGGACCUGAAAAAGCUACGUCAGAGAUACCUAUUCUACACAUCUACAAUUGGGCUGAAAAUUUACGGAGAUCUAUUUUCUAAUAAAUAAAAAAUACUGGAGCAAAGAAGUACCGAAGGGGGGCUACCAGGCACCAACUAGACACCAGGGUGCGCCAGCCCCCCAUGGCGUGGCCUGAUGUCUAGUGGCCCCCUGGCCCACCUCUGGCGAUCAUCUUCUGGUAUAAAUUUCUUUUACCUUGAAAAAUAAAUAAGAGGAGGACUUUCGGGAUGAAGCGUUGCUGUCUCAAGGCGGAACCUGGGCAGGAACACUUUUGCCCUCCGGCGGAGCGAUUCCGCCGGAGGAACUUCCCUCCUAGAGGGGGAAAUCGUGUCCAUUGUCAUCACCAACAACCCUCUCAUCUUGGGGAGGCCAAUCUUCAUAAACAUCUUCACCAGCACCAUCUCCUAUCAAAACCAUAGUUCAUCUCUUGUACCCAAUCUUGUACCGGAACCUCGGAUUGGUACCUGGGAUGUGUCUAGUAGUGUUGAUUACAUCUUGCAGUUGAUGCUUUAUGGUUUAUUUGGUGGAAGAUCAUAUAUUCAGAUCCAUUAUGCUAAUUAAUACCUCUCUGAUCAUGAACAUGUUUAUCACUUGUGAGUAGUUACUUUUGUUAUUGAGGCAAGGGAGAAAUCAUGUUGCAAGUAGUCAUGUGAACUUGAUAUUCGUUUGAUAUUUUGAUGAUAUGAAUGUUGUGAUUCCCUUAGUGGUGUUAUGUGAACGUCGACUACAUAACACUUCACCAUCUUUGGGACUAAUGGAAUGUAUUGUGGAGUAGUAAUUAGAGGGUUGGUUGCGAGAGUGACAGGAACUUAAACCCCAGUCCGUAAGUUGCUGAUUUGGAUCCCUAUGUUUAAUGCUAUGGUUAGAAUUUAUUUUUUAAUACUUUUCUCGUAGUUGCGGAUCCUUGCGGGAGGGUUAAUCAUAAGUGGGAGGUUUGUUUAAGUAAGAACAACAUCCAAGCACCAGUCCACCCACAUGUCAAAUUAUCAAAACACCAAACAUGAAUUAACCCAACAUGACGAAAGUGACUAGAUGAAAUUCUCGUGUGCCCUCAAGAACAUUUUGCCUAUUAUAAGAAAUUGUUCUAGCCCGUCCUUUGCCACAAAAGGAUUGGGCUACCUUGCUGCAACUAUUAUUACUAUUGAUACAUGUCAUUUGUUACAAUUACCUUGCUAUCAAACAACUUGUUACCGGUGUUUCAGUGCUUGCAGAAAUUACCUUGCCGAAAACCGCUUGUCAUUUCCUUUCGCUUCUCGUCGGGUUCGACACUCUUACUUAUUGAAAGGACUAUGAUUGACCCCCUAUACUUGUGGGUCAUCAAGGGUCAUCGAGUGUUUAAUUGCAACAGGGAACACAAGAAUUUGAUGCCGAUGGACGAUUACUAUGACCCGAUGCUCUAUCUGCUGACAAUUUUUGCCGUGCUUUCGGAUGACGAAAAAUUUCUUUGAUCAUCUCUACCAUGGCAUACGGUCCUUUGUUUACUAAUUCAUCUUGAUGAAGGAUGCUGUAGGAAGGAUUGGGUACUCUGGUUACCAGAAGUGCACGACCACAUUGCAGAUGCUAGCAUAUGGUAUGACCACUGAGUCAUGGCAAGAAUACCUACAGAUGUGUGAGAGCACAUGCGAAGAUGCCAUUAUCAUAUUUGCUAAGGUCGCGGUCUCGGUAUUUGAGUGAACAUCAGUAGCUGCUACUUGUGAGCUGCGUUGGGAUUCUCCCCGAAGAGGAGAGGAGAUGCAUUAUAAUAGAGAUAAGCAUUUCCGUCAAUGAGAACCAAGGUUAUCGAACCAAUAGGAGAAUCAAGCAAAUUCCUUUCAACAACACGUACACACAUAAAAAUAAACACUUGCACCCAACGCGGGCAAGAGAGUUGUCAAGAAACACACGUAAAAUCGGACGUUGUUUGUGUCUUCAUUCUAAAAAAAUGUUACUUGAAUGUGAAAGAAAACUUCUUUGUUUUCGCUCAACAACCAUAUCUUAUAUCUGCUCUACCAUCUUAGAACUUGAAAUUUCCAAUAAGAACUCACACUCACAAGAAAUUUGCAUCGUGCCACAUUGCAUGUUAAAGCACACCUCUUCAAAAUUAGUCAUACUGAUGCCCUUCCGAAAGAUCUACAUUAAUCAAGGGCUUCUUCGAUCCAUAAUAUUAAAAAAAAUAAGAAAACGAAAAAAGUACAAAAAUUGUAACAUGUGCACACGAUUCCUACUAAUUAGUUGAGUUCACACCGAAUUAUAGUUUAUUUGGUUAUAACAUAGGGAAAAACAUUUUCAAGAGAUCACUAGUAGAAAAAUGGGCCUUUAGUCCCGGUUCGGUUGGGCCAUUAGUCCCGGUUCACGAACCGGGACUAACGCUGGCCCCGGUUUGGCCCCGAACCGGGGCUAAUGGCCUUCCACGUGGCGGGGGUGGGAGCGAGGGGGAGGGGUAUUAGUACGAACCGGGGCUAUUUCUUCGCUGUUCUUUGAGCAAUUUUUGGGUUUAGGGUUUUGUACUAAAUUGGAUGGGCUAUUUUUCUGCCCCCUAUUUUUCCAUUUAUUUGUUACAUAUAUAUUGCACAUCGUCACGAAUAUAUUAUAUCAUCUCAUCCGUCGUGCUUUGUCGAGCAUAUUUACAAAAUGUAGACACGAGUUACAUGCACAUAUAUGCAUCUUUUUUACACUAUAUCAUUUCAUAUCAUUUCUGUCGAAUGGCAAUAGUAUUUAAUCGAUCAUCUAACAAAUCAUCAUCAUCUUAAUCAUAUACCAAGUUAUCAUAUGAUACACUUAAAGUAAAACAGAGAAUCAUCAUAAUAGUCAUCAUAUGCAUGCAUCCUAAUCGAUCAUGUCAAGUUAAUAUAAACCAGAAUAACUUGUCUCUCAUAAGACCUAGUCAUCGCUCUUAGGUAUAAUGUCAUAAAACAGAAUAACACCUAUGUCUCCAUGAUGAAGCACAGAGAUCCAACAGUCUCCAAUUUGUGGCUUGCGAUCCUUCUUUAUUUUUCUCCGUGCUUCAAUUUGGAGCCUUUUUUUAUCUUGAUUUGAGGUUACUGGAGUAUGGAGCAUCGAACUCAGCCCUCAGUGGGCUUUUAAUUUUCAUUUUACCUUCUGGGUGCAUCAACAGAGGCACUAUAUCAUGUGGCAGUUGCUGUUGAAGAACAUAAUAAUAACCUAGUUAGCAAUGUAAUUAACACCAUUUAUGCAAUAGUAGAGCGUACUUAAUUAGGAAACUCUUACCAAGAUAUUUCAACGAAUGUCAUCCGGCAUCAACCUAUGCACUAGUGGCAUGUAAAAUGUCUAAUUUUGACCAAUUCCAAAAUUAUAGGGAAGGUAACCUAGAACCCAGAACACCGGCAACAAGAAGGUGGAGAAGAACAUCCUUCUCCUCCCAAGUUAGAUGUGAUCCAUACGUGUAGUGUGUCGUGUCAAUUAAUUUCCGUAAUUCACUCAAAGAAACGAAAAAAUAUGUCAAUUAUAAUUUAACAAAUUUAGUAUAUGGAUGAACACCAACUAUUUCUAAAUAUAAAUGCAAAUUACUUGACAAAUAUGGUUGAGAAACUCACAUGGAGGUAAAACAGGAAGCAUAUCAUCGACAACCACCCAAAUAUCGAUGUUGCCUCGCAUAUUAUCUUCAGGACGAAGAUCGAAGGUUAUUUCCAUACUCUCCUGAAAUCCAUAUGCCUUGCAAAGAUCUUCCCACUUUGGGCACCCAAAUUCUGUUUGAAAAACUGAAUUAAAUACUUUGAUAACAAAUGUGUGACCAUGUAUAGUCCUCAGGUUAGCGCUCCUCGUCUCAAUGCUCUCGUGGUCUUCGAAUCCGAGCCUCUCCAACACCUAUCUUCUUGCAUGGCAAGGGAGGAACAUAUCUCCAUUCUCGUCAAGCUUCAUGCUGAAGAACCUAUCGUCUCGCAGGUGAGGCGUGUCACACAUACCCCGACAGUCGCCGCAAUAUUCACACUCCCAAUAUUCAUCGUCAGGCAUUUUCUGUUUUAAUGUGGUAAAUGUGUAAACACAACAAUCGUGACACUAUAUCGAAAGAAUUGAACAUCUAUAUAUAAACAUAGCUACAUUCCGACAAAACAUAGUACAACUAAUUAGCAAGCAAAAGUGAGUAACUCACUACUGUUUUAUGCAUUAACACCAACAAAAGGAUGAUAUUUGUAGGUUGGUGAAAUAUGUAUGUGCCCUUUUUUCCUAUCCAAAGUUUAAAUAAGUUGUUUGAAACCAUUGGUUGUCUAAUUCAAACCUAAUGUGCCUACUUACAUGAAAUUUACAAACAGGAUUUUUUCCUUCUUUCUAGUUAGCCCAUCAAAAGAUCUUCAACAAACAUAUCUUAAUUUUCUAAUUAACAUGCAUCUCAAGAUGACAUCUUGAACCGAUCGAUGGCCCUAAAAUCAAAAUGACAUCAGCCUUGGGGUGCCUAGAGCGGGAGGGGAGGGAGCGGCGGCGCCUGGAGGGCAGCGGGUUUACCGAAGCGGGAUGGGGAGGGGGCUUACCGGAGCAGGCCAGAGAGGGGAAGGGGGCUUACCGGGAGGGCAGGGAGGCGGCGGCGGCGAGGGAGGCGACGACGAUGACGACGGCGGCGAGGGAGGCGGCGGCAGGGAGGAGCGCGAAGACGGCGACGGCAUCGGGGAAGAGUUAGGCAUCCUCGCGGCGUCGAGGGUUCGUCCGAGUCGCGAGGAGGAAGAAGAGAUCGAAACCGCGAUUUGGACAUCACAAAAUUCCAACUCCCGCUUAUAUAGGCGGAGCUUUGGUCCCGGGUCGUGGCUCGAACCGGGAUUAAAGACCCCUUUUCGGCAAGCGGAGUGGCGGGAAACGAUGGUCUUUAGUCCUGGGUCGUGGCUCGAACCGGAACUAAAGGUAAAGGCCUGGGCUGUCUCCGGCGCGACGCAGUGCUAACCUUUAGUCCCACCUCACCUAGCGAGGAGCGCCGGCAAUGCUUUAUAAGCAUCGUUGUACGUGCUCUUUCGAGCUCCUCUCUAAAGCAGGCUUACGGGCCUAAACGCACUCUAAAUUUAAAAAUUGAAAAUAUAUGUGAAACUAAAUAUAAAAUUCAACCUAAAUUGAAAGUAAUCACUUUAAAUUUGGGUUGAAUUUUCUCUAUAAAUUCUCAUAUAGUUUCAAUUUUUUUCCAUUAUUUUUGUUUUGUUCUUUGCUUUAUUUAUUUUGUUUUUUCUACUUACAGCUAAAUAUUUAAUUUUUCAAAUUUGAAUUCUUUGCGUUGAAUUUUUUCCUCUUCUAUUUUAGUUUUCUGUUAAAGAUUUUAACCAAAAAACUAUAUGAAAAUUCUUUUCAGUUAUUUUUUUUGUUUCUUUUUAGUUAAUGUUUUACUUGAUUCUUUUUAGUAAUAAGCACUUUGAUAAUUUUAGUUGAUUAUUUUUAAUUCAUUCAUUUUAGUUAAUGUUUUUCAACAAUUUCUGAUUUUAUUCGGUAUUUUUCGUGCAUUUACUUAUUUUUUUGAGCUAGUUGACCCUGAAAUUGAAAAGCACUACAAAUGAACUCUGAAAAUGUUAAAUGUUGGCAUGGUAUCAUCAUUUCAUCCACGUAGCAUGUGCUAAAAAGUUGAUAGAUUACAACAAAAACUGGAUGCACUUCGUGUACAAAACGAACAAUCUCUCUCGAAGUAUCACGGUUUCGAACGAGAACUCAUCUGUUACAAAGGGACAAUCCCCUAGUGCAUAACAAAUAUCUAGCACAAGGAGAAGAAGGAGAAACGACCCCCACAACAACAGUCGGCAUUCUUCUUCUCUCAUAUAUGGUGGACACUUCCUCACAGAUUUUUUGACCGUCGAUGGUGGUCGCUACUCCUACUUCCCCUAGUGCAUAACAAAUAUCUAGCACAAGGAGAAGAAGGAGAAACGACCCCCACAACAACAGUCGGCAUUCUUCUUCUCUCAUAUAUGGUGGACACUCCCUCACCUGAUUUUUCGACCGUCGAUGAUGGUCGCUACUCCUACUUCCCCUAGUGCAUAAAAAAUAUCUAGCACAAGGAGAAGAAGGAGAAGCGACCCCCACAACAACAAUCGACAUUCUUCUUCUCUCAUAUAUGGUGGACACUCCCUCACCUGAUUUUUCGACCGUCGAUGAUGGUCGCUACUCCUACUUCCCCUAGUGCAUAAAAAAUAUCUAGCACAAGGAGAAGAAGGAGAAGCGACCCCCACAACAACAAUCGACAUUCUUCUUCUCUCAUAUAUGGUGGAGACUCCCUCACAAAUCACUCUACUUCUAGAGCAUUUGAAAUGAGCUAAACUGGCAGUGACAGAUGAAAGGAUGAAGUAGCUAACCUUUUAAAACACUUGUGCAGUUGGUGCACGGCCAAACCUAGACAAAUAUUGAGGAAAAUGGAGCUUGAAGGUCGAGCUUGAAGAGGAGAAAGCUUAAGUAGUGUGGCUCAGGCUUUUCAUCGAACACCUCAUGUGCAUGAACUAGAGUGGCAAGAGGAUGGCAUGGUCACACCUCAACACCCAAAAAACAAAGGAGAGGGUGGGAAGGGGCGAGGGUUUAUAUAGGCAACACUUUAGUCCCUUUUUUUUCUCUAAAAUCGGGACUUGCCACAUUUCUUGUUUUCUGGACUUGCUUUCUCCACAUUUCUUGUUUUCUGGACAUUUUUUUUAUAAAAAAAACAUGGAAGGCUUGCAUCAUGUUGGCGAUAUGUACAACUUAUGUUACAUUCCCAAAGUCCAGGGAGAGCUAAACUUCGCAAGAUGGUUUUUCUAACUUUUUUCUUAUCCUGCUUACUAAGAUUUCCAUGUUAGCGAAACCACCAUCCAGUUUUGUGCUUAGACACCAAAUCUAGACUUAGGCGAAUAAUCAAAGGAAAAGUGUGUUCGCAUAAUUUUAGUUACUAUCACAACUAGGGGCCAGUUCUUUUGACCCAGUUCUGAAGAAUUACUGUCCGGAAAAUUACAGUCACAAAAGAACUUGUUUCUUUCCCAGGAAUUAUCUGAGAAUUACCAGAAUUAAUAGUGCAUUUCAGAAUUAUGAGAACCUAGCAAUUCUGGUGCCGCCCGUUUCGUUCCCCCACCCAGUGCCGCCGCCAGCCGUCAGAUCCCCGCCACCCUGCGCUGCCGCCUCCCUAGACAGGCCACCCUAGUCCUGCGCAGCUAGGCCGCCACCCUGUGCCCCCGCCACCCCUUCUCCUCCUCUCCAUCCCGCCGGGCCGCCACAUCUCGACGCAUCCCCGCCCGACCACCCUGCUCCUGCGUCGUCGGGCCACCACCCCGUGCCGCCGGGCCGCUACAUCUCGACGCCUCCCCACCCGGCCACCCCGGUCCUGCGCCGCCACCGCCCCUUCUUCUCCUCUUCAUCCCGUUGGGUCGCCACAUCUCGAGCCUCCCCACCCGGCCACCCUGCUCUUGCGUUGGCAGGCCGUCACCUUGCGCCGCCGCCACCCCUUCUCCUCCUCUCCUUCCCGCCGGGCCGCCACAUCUCGACGCCUCCACGCCCGACCAUCCCGCUCUUGAGCCGUCGGGCCGCCACCGUGCGCUGUCGCCGCCCCUUCUCCAUUUCAAUCUAGGGGCGUUUCAGACAUUUCAACAUACAAAUCAUACAACAAUUACAUGCUAGAAUUACAGAAAAAAAAACCGGACACAUAAUUCUGUGGCCAGACGAUUCUGCGGGCAGUUUCUCAGAAUUAUGAUUCUCAAGAAUUAUGAGGUGAAAAAAACUUGCCAAAACUAGUGCAGCCCAUGUCAUUCAGUUUAUGGAAAAAAUGAAUGCCUACCAACCUUUUUCUUUCUUCCACCAAUAGUGCUUUUAGGCCAUAGCCCUUUAUAUACACCACCGCAUCUUCCUCGAGCAGAAUACAACCUUCAUAUUUCCAUUCUAUCUUAAGAUGUUAGUAUAACUUUUCUUAAUGUCGGCAGCAUUAGCUUGGUACAUCAAAUAGGAGCACUGGUGGAAAAACAGGCUUCCGUCCAGCCCCAUAAGUCGCGAAGCUGUAGGAACCGCGACUAAUGGGACCUUUAGUCGCGGUUCUGGAGGUGAACCGCGACCAAAGGCCUGGGCCCAGGGCGCUCGGUGGCCAGCUGGUGCACGUGAGGGGCUUUAGUCGCGGUUGGCCAGGCCAACCGCGACUAAAGGCCUUCGGGCACCUUUAGUCACGGUUUGCCAGGCCAACCGCAACUAAAGCCCCUCCCCUAUAUAUACCCAUCCAGCAGCCAACACUUAGCCAUUUAGAGCCAUUCUCUUCACACUUAGGGUUUAGGUUUGCUUUUGGUUCCUCUUAUGCACAUAAGGUGUUUGAUGAAAUGCCCCAAGAGCAUGAAACAAACAUGACAUGAAGUGUUGGAGCCACACUCCUCGAUCGCGGUUAGCAACUUGAUGAACCUUUGAUGUGUCAUUGAUAAAAUAUGCAUGUGUGUAGUUCAUUGUUUAAUUUAUAUUGUUUGUAGCUAGUUAGUUUAACAAAUGCAUGAUGGUUAAUUAUAUAUUUUAUAUUAUAAUAAUGCAGAUGAAUCGGCAAUGGAUGUACGUUAACCGACUCUCCGGCGAGUUCAGUACGGGUUUGAAAGAUUUCCUCGUAGUGGCUAAUGCGAACAAGCGGGGGGGUUUUGUUAUCUGUCCAUGUGUUAACUGUAAGAAUCAGAAGGGUUACUCUUCCUCAAGAGAUGUUCACAUGCAUCUGCUUCGGCACGGUUUCAUGCCAAGCUAUAAUUGUUGGACCAAGCAUGGAGAAAGAGGGGUUAUAAUGGAAGAAGAUGAAGAAGGGGAUGAUUUCAUCGAUGAAAGCUAUCUUGCUCAUUUCGGUGAUACUUUCAUGGAGGAUGCUGAAGGUGAAGGGGAAGGUGAAGAAGAGGCACGUGAUGAUCCCGUUGAUGAUCUUGGUCGGACCAUUGCUGAUGCACGGAGACGCUGCGAAACUGAAAAGGAGAGGGAGAAUUUGGAUCGCAUGUUAGAGGAUCACAGAAAGGCGCUGUACCCCGGAUGCGAUGAUGGUCUGAAAAAGCUGGGCUGCACACUGGAUUUGCUGAAAUGGAAGGCAGAGGCAGGUGUAGCUGACUCGGCAUUUGAAAACUUGCUGAAAAUGUUGAAGAAUAUGUUUCCAAAGGAUAACGAGUUGCCCACCAGUACGUACGAAGCAAAGAAGGUUGUCUGCCCUCUAGGUUUAGAGGUUCUGAAGAUACAUGCAUGCAUCAACGACUGCAUCCUCUACCGCGGUGAAUACGAGAAUUUGAAUGAAUGCCCGGUAUGCACUGCAUUGCGUUAUAAGAUCAGAGGCGAUGACCCUGGUGACGAUGUUGAGGGCCAGAAACCCAGGAAGAGGGUUCCCGCCAAGGUGAUGUGGUAUGCUCCUAUAAUACCACGGUUGAAACGUCUGUUCAGGAACAAAGAGCAUGCCAAGUUGUUGCGAUGGCACAAAGAGGACCGUAAGUCGGACGGGGAGUUGAGACACACCGCAGAUGGAACGCAAUGGAGAAAGAUCGACAGAUGGUUCAAAGAUUUUGCAGCUGACGCAAGGAACAUAAGAUUUGCUCUAAGUACGGAUGGCAUGAAUCCUUUUGGCGAGCAGAGCUCCAGCCAUAGCACCUGGCCCGUGACUCUAUGCAUCUACAACCUUCCUCCUUGGUUGUGCAUGAAGCGGAAGUUCAUUAUGAUGCCAUUGCUCAUCCAAGGUCCGAAGCAACCCGGCAACGACAUCGAUGUGUACCUAAGGCCAUUAGUUGAUGAACUUUUACAGCUGUGGGGUGGUGUCCGUGUGUGGGAUGAGCACAAACAAGAGGAAUUUGACCUACGAGCGUUGCUUUUCGUAACCAUCAACGAUUGGCCUGCUCUUAGUAACCUUUCGGGACUGUCAAAUAAGGGAUACAAUGCAUGCACGCACUGCUUACAUGAGACUGAAAGUGUACAUUUGCCAAAUUGUAAGAAGAACGUGUACCUUGGGCAUCGUCGAUUUCUUUCGAAAAUUCAUCCAGUAAGAAAGAAAGGCAAGCAUUACAACGGCAAGGCAGAUCACCGGCCGAAGCCUGCGGAACGCACUGGUGCUGAGGUAUUUGAUAUGGUCAAGGAUUUGAAAGUCAUCUUUGGAAAGGGUCCUGGCGGACAAUCAGUUCCGAAGGGAGCUGACGGGCACGCAGCCAUGUGGAAGAAGAAAUCUAUAUUCUGGGAGCUAGAAUAUUGGAAAGUCCUAGAUGUCCGCUCUGCAAUCGACGUGAUGCACGUUACGAAGAAUAUUUGCGUGAACCUCCUAAGCUUCUUGGGCGUGUAUGGGAAGACAAAUGAUACAAAGGAAGCACGGCAGGACCAGCAACGUUUGAAAGACCCUGAUGACCGGCAUCCGGAAUGGUUUCAAGGUCGUGCCAGCUACGCUCUGACCAAAGAAGAGAAGGUCAUCUUUUUUGAAUGCCUGAGCAGUAUGAAGGUCCCGUCUGGAUUCUCGUCCAAUAUAAAGGGAAUAAUAAACAUGGCGGAGAAAAAGUUCCAAAACCUGAAGUCUCACGACUGCCACGUGAUUAUGACGCAAUUGCUUCCGAUUGCUUUGAGGGGGCUCCUGCCGGAAAAUGUUCGAGUAGCCAUUGUGAAGCUAUGUGCAUUCCUCAAUGCAAUCUCUCAGAAGGUAAUCAAUCCAGAAGUUCUACCACGGUUACAGAACGAUGUGAUCCAAUGUCUUGUCAGUUUCGAGCUGGUGUUCCCGCCAUCCUUCUUCAAUAUUAUGACGCACCUCCUGGUUCACCUAGUCGAAGAGAUUUUCGUUCUCGGUCCUGUAUUUCUACACAAUAUGUUCCCCUUCGAGAGGUUCAUGGGAGUAUUAAAGAAAUAUGUUCGUAACCGUGCUAGGCCAGAAGGAAGCAUCGCCAAGGGCUAUGGAAAUGAGGAGGUAAUUGAGUUUUGUGUUGACUUUGUUCCUGACCUUAAGCCGAUUGGUCUUCCUCGAUCGCGGCACGAGGGGAGACUAAGUGGAAAAGGCACGAUCGGAAGGAAAUCAACGAUAUGUAUGGACGGCCAUUCUCUGACUGAAGCACACCACACUGUACUGACCAAUUCCAGCUUGGUGGCUCCGUACUUUGAGAAACACAAGAAUAUUUUACGCUCUGACAACCCGGGGAAGCCUGAAUCCUGGAUUAGGAAGGCCCACAUGGAGACUUUCGGCAGUUGGUUGAGAAAACAUUUAAUGAAUGACAAUGAUGUUGUAGAUCAGCUGUACAUGUUGGCCAAGACACCAUCUUCGACUAUAACGACUUUCCAAGGGUACGAGAUAAAUGGGAAUACAUUUUACACGAUCGCCCAAGAUAAAAAGAGCACCAACCAAAACAGUGGUGUCCGCUUUGAUGCAGCAACCGAGAAUGGGCAAGAGGUCACAUAUUAUGGUUACAUAGAGGAGAUAUGGGAACUUGACUAUCGACCCUCCUUUAAGGUCCCUUUGUUCCGGUGCAAAUGGUUCAAGCUAACAGGAGGUGGGGUAAAGGUGGACCAGCAAUACGGAAUGACAAUGAUCCCGUCUGGAUUCUGCAGAGUCCGGCCGUACCACCAUAGCCGACGGCCGGCCUCGUGGAAGUUCCCAGGAGGCAGACCGUCCUCCUCAUACCUGGCGAGCGCCCUCUCACGCCGAUUGAUGAAGAAGGCGUCCCAAGUAUGCUGGUUAUCGGGAUGCCAGCGGGGAUUCAUCCGCUGCUCCGGCGUGAGGUCGAGGUAGUAGUGGUUCGUGAUGGCCGCCCGGCGCGCAGUACCCUGAGGGACGGGAGGGACCGGCACGCCGCCGGCGCUUAGGCUCCAGCCGGUGGGGACGCGGUAGCCCGGUGGACAAGGGUAGUUCGAGGCGCAAAGCUCCUCCACCUGCUGGUAGGUUAGAGUGGGUGCGGUGGAAGCCAUGAGAGAGUGAUGAGAGAUUGUAGAGAUGUGAUAAUGCUGGCCAAGCCGGGCUACAUAUAUGUAGUGAGAAAUGGCGGGAAAAAUGGGAGCGGGAAGACAGGAGGCGGGAAGACAGGAGGCGGGAAGAAAGUGGCGGGAAGAAAGAGGCGGGAAGACAGGGAAGAAAUGGCGGGAAGAAGAGGAAUCCUCUCAGCGGGCGGAUAGGAGAAGAAAGGGGCGGCGCGCUCACGGCUCGGGCGAGAAGUAUUGUCUCUAUGCAUAUUUUUCCUACGAAAAUAUGCUUAGAAAACAGAAAAUAAAAUGUUUGAAGUUUCUAUAAAAGCAUUGAUGAUUUUUCUGAAAAGAAAAAGAUAAAAGGUUCUGAAAAUAAAAUGAAAGGGGCCUUUAGUCGCGGUUGGUCUGGCAAACCGCGACUAAAGGUUACCCUUUAGUCGCGGGUCGCCUCCCCAACCGCGACUAAAGGGGGGGCUAUAAAUACAGUGCGGGCGCCUCCCCUGCCGCCGUCUUCUCCAUCUCUCUCGUCUUCUCCGAUUCCAACCGUCGCGCGCGCGCCGAAGGCCUGCCGCCGCCGUCGCCCUCGCCCUCGUCGACGCCGCCCGCCGUCGCCCUCGCCCUCGUCGUCGCCCUCGCCGUCGUCGCCGCCGUCGCCGCCCUCGCCGUCGCGGUUGGUUUUCAUCUUUCCCGCGCCGCGCGCCCGCCUUCCUCGCUUCCUUGGAAGAACGCCGUCUUGGAAUAACGAACGUCGAUCUUGAACCCUCGCCGUCGCGGUUGGUUUUCAUCUUUCCCGCGCCGCGCGCCCGCCUUCCUCGCUUCCUUGGAAGAACGCCGUCUUGGAAGAACGAACGUCGAUCUUGGAAGAACGAACGUCGAUCUUGAACAAGUCGAUAUCUUGGAAGAACGAACGUCGAUCUUGAAGGGUGUCUCACUCACAUGCCUUCCUUCGAAUGAGAUAAAAGAAAGAAAUAAAUAUAUUUGAUCUUGCACAUCUAGGGAACCGACAAUCUAUGGAGCAUUAUGAUUUUGGUUUUUCUUAACUUUUGAAGAUAUUUUGUUUAGAGAAGUACUUUGCUCUAUAAUGUGUUAACCAUCACCAAAAAACAAGUUGGUCUCCAUCUUGCUUAUUUUGCUAUUUAUAAUAAUUAUAAUACUAUAUUAAUGACCAUAUAAAAAUGCUAUUUAUAAUAUGGAUAUGUCAAAUACAAUUACUGAAAGUAAAAAAAGCGGGAAACAAGUUGCCCAGCUCGGGGAACAAAGUAAACAAUCGAUUGCCCCGCUUAUAGUGGAAGCCGCCGGUCCGGAUGCCCCCGAGAUCAUACAAGCUGCGGCAGCACAGGGAUUGACUGCAACGAGUGCCAGAGAACAAGCGGCCAACUUAGGUAUUACUCUUCGUGAACUGUUAGGCCUUGAUGAGGCGCCAGUGAAGGAGGUAGUAAUUACAUAUGUCAAGAAUGGGCCUCUCGUCGAGCCUGCGCAGAAAAAAGGAUCUACCUCCACAAAUGAAAGGUCUGCUGAAAUGGUACAAGGGUUACAUAAAAAAUAAAAGCGCCAAAGAUUAUAUUUAUGCGGAAGUUAGACAUGAGCAUCACUUCAAACAUUACUAUGUACAAAUUGAACUGAGUGAAUUGUUCCAGCUUUUCAAUCUGCGCGAUCUCGACAAAUCUAUCAUCAGUUGCUACGUUCUGUAAGUGAUUUAUUUCUACCCCAUCUCGUUCAUAUUGCCUGCACUAUAUAUAUGUCCUAACUAUAUUGUUGUGUCCGCUAUUAUACAUGCAGAAUGAAGAUUAAGGAAUGCAGAGUAAGGAACAUCCAUGAUGUUGGGUUCAUUGACCCACACAUCGUUAAUGGACAUGUGUUGGAGCAUCACCCCGCCGACAUGGAGGCAGACCUGUGGCAGUUUCUUACAAAGCAGGAACUCAAAAGUGAUAUUCUAUUUCCUUACCAUUUUGGGUGAGUGUUUCUGUCUUGAGCACAUUCUCUUUUGUUUACUCCAUGCAUGGUAUGUGGCCGGCUAAUCGAUGAGUUAUGCAUGACGUACUGUGCAUGUAUCGUGUCCGCAGGUUUCACUGGAUUCUGCUAGUAAUUAAAGUUAACACCUCAGAAUGUCUCGUCCACGACUCUCUGAAUAUGGAUCCAAAGCUUUGGGGCGGCAUGAGAAGAAUGCUGCAGAAGUAAUUAUUUUCAUUCAUUUGCGCUCUAUAUCGAUCGGCCUAUUUCGUUCAUUUCCUAAUAUCAAGUAACUAAUAACUCUCUUGUUCAUUUAAUUUUCUUUGCCUCGUAGGGUUUGGAGACGGUUCGUAGAUACAAAGGUCGGUGAAUUCAAAAAAGAGCUAGAAUUCAAAAGGUCAAAGCCGAAGAAUGCUGGGGAUAUUCAGCCAGCGGGGACCAAUCUAUGUGGAUACUAUGUCUGUGAGAUGAUCCGGAGAUACACCUCUGAGCGGGUUCCGAGUGAUACCAAUGCUAAGAGGAAUAACCUCCGGAUGAUGCUUAGUCCAGAAGCUCGCUUCCGACCACUUCAAGAGGAACUAGCUGGAUGGUUCAGCNNNNNNNNNNNNNNNNNNNNNNNNNNNNNNNNNNNNNNNNNCCUAAAGGAGAACACCAUUACGAGGACGUAGAACUUUAUAUGCAUUAAAUUAUGUAUGGAAACUUGUUCAAAAUUGUAUAUGGUCAUCCGAUGAUAUUGAAUAUAUAUUGUAUAUUCCUCUUGAAUUCUUUUUGGUUCUAAUUUCAAAUUUGUUUGAAAUUGUACAUUCAUAUGCAUGUAUGUAGUACCGUAGAAUAUAUGAAAUUCCUUCAAAAUUAAAAUAAAGCACAAAAGAAAUAAAACAAUACAAAUUUAACAGAAAACAGGUUUAGGGGGGGCGCGGGGGCCUUUAGUUGCGGUUGGCCAGAAGAACCGCGACUAAAGGUCCUCCGCCCAGACGGCCGCCUGGCGCCCACGUGAACGGGCCUUUAGUCGCGGUUUCUUAAGAACCGCGACUAAAGGUGGGGGGCUUUAGUCGCGCUUAGUUGGUCGCGGUUGCGCAACCGCGACUAAUGGCAGUUGCGAACCGCGACCAAAGGCCUUUUUUCCACCAGUGGAGAUGGUCACAUAUACAUACUAAGUGGAGAAUGAGAGCACAAACAAUAGAACGUUAGAACCAGUGUGAACAGAAGACAUCGGGAACAAUGUUGGUGCCACCGGUGAAGGGUCCGAUGGGAAAUAUCAGAUUCCGGAUUUUCAUGGGAGCUCCCUCUUACGUUUCUUUCCUGUGUUUCUUCUGUUAUUAGCUCGUCAUGUAUUAUUUACGGCCAAAACCUUGCUGUUUAGAGAAGUCCCGUUGACGUAUUGUGCUCUUUGGUAAACUGAAUGAUUAUGAGAGCGGUAAUAAAAAAAAGGAUGUUUUUCGUCUUCCAUUUUAUUAUUUUCUUAAAUUAAGAAAAAAGAUUUCAAAAUAGAGAGCUGAAACUGACACUGUUUCAAACUCGUGGCUUGCAACAUUACUUGCCUCAGGUUUUUCUACUCCCAUCUUAUUGUUCUCCUAGCUGGGUUAUACUCCCUCCGUUCCUAAAUAUACGACAUUUUAAAGAUUGCACUGUAAACUACAUACGGAUAUAUAUAGACAUAUGUUAGAGUGUACAUUCACUCAUUUUGCUCCGUAUAUAGUCUCCUAAUGAAAUCUCUAAAAGGUCUUAUAUUUUGAAACGGAGGGAGUAUUUGUCUAUUUGGCAAUAGCGAGGACCUCCCACUAGCGAACACUCUUUGAAGUGGGUUGGCCCACGUAAAGGUUCUCAGAACCGGUUUUAUGAAACUUUUAGAACUUUCUGGUCGGUGUUUUUCCUUUUUUUCUCCUUUUUUUGUCAGCUUUUCUACUUUUGUUUUUGUUUGAUUUUUUAUUUAUUCUUUUCUUUUUUACAUUAUUUUGAUUUAAAUUCAUAAAUCCUCGCUCUGUCCCCUAUUAAUUCGUAAUUUUGCUCGAAUAUGGAUGUAUCUAACACAAAAGCGGAGGUAUUAUAUUUCAAACUCAUGAUUUUCUGAAUAUUUUUUAAAAUAAUCAAUAUAAAAAUAAGUGAUUUUGAAAAAAUUGUGCAUUUUGUAAUUCAUGAUCUUUUCCAAUUUCAUUAUUUUAUGAAUUCAAGAACUUUUUAAAAUAAUUUUUCUGAAUUCAUUAAAAAAAUCAAACUCAUGGACAUUUUAAAUUUAUAGAGUAUGUGAACAUUUUUCAAACCCAUAAACUGUUUUUACAUCAUGAACAUUUUUUGAAAGUACAAUUCUUUAAUUUAUUAAAAAAAGAUAAUAUUUUAACUUUUUGAGACAAUAAAAAAACAGAUAAUGGUUGCUUUUCCAUAAACCUGUAGCUACUGUUUUUUUCAUUCUUAUUUUGGACAAGCUACUGGUUUUUCAUGAACAAGCAGCAAGCGGGCAAUCCAGGGACCUCCUAUGUACCGCAUUUAAUCGCAAAAACGAAAAUCGAAGCAUCAAGAGGAAUCGAAGCCACAACGUCGGCUUCCAACACAAGCGCUGAUAGCCACCAGAUCGAGUCAAUAGAUGUGAACAAUAUCACAUUGCUAAUCUAUUUAAGAACCUACUAUAUCGCGAUCUGGUGCUUAAAUAGAUCCCGGCUUCCCCUUUAGCGAUCCCGGCUAAUCUAUUUAAGAACCUACUAUUCUAUUGCUAAUCCCGGCAAAUCUAUCGCAUUGUCAAAUUUCAAAACAUUUUUUCAAAAUCUAAAAUAUUUUUUCAAACAGAAACAGAAAAAAAGAAAAAAAGACGGUUCAGGAAAAAUUCUAGAAAGUCCCCAAAACCAAAAAACCGACUAGAAACCUGUAGAAGGUAGAAGGUUCUCAAAACCAGGAUCGAUGAAAGUGCUAAUGAGCAGGUCCAAACCCCGCUUGCUCGCAGCUCGUGUGCUUUUGCUCGCUAGCAUCACCACGCCGAAAUCGGUGGCAACGAAACUGGACCGGCCCAAGUCUUCUGGACGGGGUGGUUUUCCGGCAAUCCGGAGUAGGGCGAGCCAGUCGAGUGCGCUAAUGCUCUGGCCAUUUAGAUUGAUGUCAAAAAAGAAAAAAGAGGAGCUUCCUUUGGAAACAGCCAGCACGUUGCCACACACCCCUCGAAAAACAAUUUAAAAAAAGGACAUCGCACACGCUGCCGCAUCUCGCCUUCUGCUCCCGCGCGGCUGUUGCAUUCUGUCGCCGCCCCGCCGGCUGGCUGCUCCGCGGGAUGCGCCAUUGGGCCAAUUGGUUGAAACCAUUGGUUGUCUAAUUCAAACCUAAUGUGCCUACUUACAUGAAAUUUACAAACAGGAUUUUUUUCCUUCUUUCUAGUUAGCCCAUCAAAAGAUCUUCAACAAACAUAUCUUAAUUUUCUAAUUAACAUGCAUCUCAAGAUGACAUCUUGAACCGAUCGAUGGCCCUAAAAUCAAAAUGACAGCAGCCUUGGGGUGCCUAGAGCGGGAGGGAAGGGAGCGGCGGCGCCUGGAGGGCAGCGGGCUUACCGAAGCGGGAUGGGGAGGGGGCUUAUCGGAGCGGGCCGGAGAGGGGAAGGGGGCUUACCGAGAGGGCAGGGAGGCGGCGGCGGCGAGCGAGGCGACGACGAUGACGACGUCGGCGAGGGAGGUGGCGGCAGGGAGGAGCGCGAAGACGACGACGGCGUCGGGGAAGAGUUAGGCAUCCUCGCGGCGUCGANNNNNNNNNNNNNNNNNNNNNNNNNNNNNNNNNNNNNNNNNNNNNNNNNNNNNNNNNNNNNNNNNNNNNNNNNNNNNNNNNNNNNNNNNNNNNNNNNNNNAUAGUUAUUAUUAUAAUUCCUGUAUCAAGAUAAUCGUUUAUUAUCCAUGCUAUAAUUGUAUUGAAUGAAGACUCAUUUACAUGUGUGGAUACAUAGACAAAACACUGUCCCUAGCAAGCCUCUAGUUGGCUAGCCAGUUGAUCAAAGAUAGUCAGUGUCUUCUGAUUAUGAACAAGGUGUUGUUGCUUGAUAACUGGAUCACGUCAUUAGGAGAAUCACGUGAUGGACUAGACCCAAGCUAAUAGACAUAGCAUGUUGAUCGUGUCAUUUUGUUGCUACUGUUUUUCUGCGUGUCAAGUAUUUGUUCCUAUGACCAUGAGAUCAUAUAACUCACUGACACUGGAGGAAUACUUUGUGUGUAUCAAACGUCGCAACGUAACUGGGUGACUAUAAAGAUGCUCUACAGGUAUCUCCGAAGGUGUUAGUUGAGUUAGUAUGGAUCAAGACUGGGAUUUGUCACUCCGUGUGACGGAGAGGUAUCUUUGGGCCCACUCGGUAAUACAACAUCACACACAAGCCUUGCAAGCAAUGUAACUUAGUGUAAGUUGCGGGAUCUUGUAUUACGGAACGAGUAAAGAGACUUGUCGGUAAACGAGAUUGAAAUAGGUAAACGGAUACUGACGAUCGAAUUUCGGGCAAGUAACAUACCGAAGGACAAAGGGAAUGACAUACGGGAUUAUACGAAUCCUUGGCACUGAGGUUCAAACGAUAAGAUCUUCGUAGAAUAUGUAGGAUCCAAUAUGGGCAUCCAGGUCCCGCUAUUGGAUAUUGACCGAGGAGUCUCUCGGGUCAUGUCUACAUAGUUCUCGAACCCGCAGGGUCUGCACACUUAAGGUUCGACGUUGUUUUAUGUGUAUUUGAGUUAUUUGGUUGGUUACCGAAUGUUGUUGGGAGUCCCGGAUGAGAUCACGGACGUCACGAGGGUUUCCGGAAUGGUCNNNNNNNNNNCGUAUUUGAGUUAUAUGGUUGGUUACCGAAUGUUGUUCGGUGUCCUGGAUGAGAUCACGGACGUCACGAGGGUUUCCGGAAUAGUCCGGAAACGAAGAUUGAUAUAUAGGAUGACCUCAUUUGGUUACCGGAAGGUUUUCGUGCAUUACCGGAAAAGUUUCGGGCUCAUCGGUAGUGUACCGAGAGUGCCGGGAGGGGGUGCCGGGGACCAUCGGGAGGGGUGUCACGCCCCAAGGGGUCUCAUGGGCUAUGGGAAGAGAUAAACCAGCCCCUAGUGGGCUGGAAUAAGUUCCCACUAAGGCCCAUAAGGUUUGAGAAGGAAAAAACACAAGGUGGAAAGAGUUUCCAAGUGGGAAGGUGGAAUCCUACUCCAAGUAGGAUUGGAGUAGGACUCCUCCACCUCCAAUUUCGGCCAAACCUUUGGGUUUUGAGGNNNNNNNNNNGGGGCAACCCACCCCGGGGAAGCCCAUAGGCCUUGAGGGUGGCGCACCAGCCCUUAGUGGGCUGGUGGGACAGCCCAAAAGGGCCCUAUGCGCCUAGGAAAGAAAAUCAAAGAGAAAAAAAAGGAGGAGGUGGGAAGGGAAGGAAGGACUCCCACCCACCAAACCAAGUCCAACUCGGUUUUGGGGGGGGGGAGCCUUCCCCCCUUGGCUCGGCCAACCCCCUUGGGGCUCCUUGAGCCCCAUGGCAAGGUCCCCUCCCUCCCACCUAUAUAUACGGAGGUUUUAGGGCUGAUUUGAGACGACUUUUCCACGGCAGCCCGACCACAUACCUCCACGGUUUUUCCUCUAGAUCGCGUUUCUGCGGAGCUCGGGCGGAGCCCUGCUGAGACAUGGUCAUCACCAACCUUCGGAGCGCCGUCACACUGUCGGAGAACUCUUCUACCUCUCCGUCUCUCUUGCUGGAUCAAGGAGGCCGAGAUCAUCGUCGAGCUGUACGUGUGCUGAACGCGGAGGUGACGUCCGUUCGGUACUGGAUCGUGGGACUGAUCGCGGGAUUGUUCGCGGGGCGGAUCGAGGGACGUGAGGACGUUCCACUACAUCAACCGCGUUCACUAACGCUUCUGUUGUAUGAUCUACAAGGGUACGUAUAUCACUCAUCCCCUCUCGUAGAUGGACAUCACCAUGAUAGCUCUUCGUGCGCGUAGGAAAUUUUUUGUUUCCCAUGCGAUGUUCCCCAACAGUGGCAUCAUGAGCUAGGUUCAUGCAUAGAUGUCUUCUCGAGUAGAACACAAAAGUUUUUGUGGGCGGUGAUGUGCGUUUUGCUGCCCUCCUUAGUCUUUUGUUGAUUCCGCGGUAUUGUUGGAUUGAAGCGGCUUGGACCGACAUUACUCGUACGCUUACGAGAGACUGGUUUCAUCGUUACGAGUAACCCCCUUUGCUCAAAGAUGACUGGCAAGUGACGGUUUCUCCAACUUUAGUUGAAUCGGAGUUGACCGAGGAGGUCCUUGGAUGAGGUUAAAUAGCAACUCAUAUAUCUCCGUUGUGGUGUUUGCGUAAGUAAGAUGCGAUCCUACUAGAUACCCUUGGUCACCACGUAAAACAUGCAACAACAAAAUUAGAGGACGUCUAACUUGUUUUUGCAGGGUAUGCUUGUGAUGUGAUAUAUUGGAUGUAUGAGAUGAUCAUGUUGUAAUAGAUAAUAUCGACUUGCACGUCGAUGGUACGGCAACCGGGAGGAGCCAUAGGGUUGUCUUUAUAUUAAUGUUUGUGCUUGCAGAUGCGUUUACUAUUUUGCUAGGAUGUAGCUUUAGUAGUAAUAGCAUGAGUAGCAUGACAACCUCGAUGGCAACAUGUUGAUGGAGAUCAUGGCGUGGCGCCGGUGACAAGAAGAUCGUGCCGGUGCUUUGGUGAUGGAGAUCAAGAAGCACGUGAUGAUGGCCAUAUCAUGUCACUUAUGAAUUGCAUGUGAUGUUAAUCCUUUUAUGCACCUUAUUUUGCUUAGAACGACGGUAGCAUUAUAAGGUGAUCUCUCACUAAAAUUUUAAGACGAAAUUGUGUUCUCCCCGACUGUGCACCGUUGCUACAGUUCGUCGUUUCGAGACACCACGUGAUGAUCGGGUGUGAUAGACUCAACGUUCNNNNNNNNNNAAGUAGCACGACAACCCCGAUGGCAACACGUUGAUGGAUGAUCAUGGUGUGGCGCCGGUGACAAGAAGAUCGUGCCGGUGCUUUGGUGAUGGAGAUNNNNNNNNNNNNNNNNNNNNNNNNNNNNNNNNNNNNNNNNNNNNNNNNNNNNNNNNNNNNNNNNNNNNNNNNNNNNNNNNNNNNNNNNNNNNNNNNNNNNNNNNNNNNNNNNNNNNNNNNNNNNNNNNNNNNNNNNNNNNNNNNNNNNNNNNNNNNNNNNNNNNNNNNNNNNGUUUUGCUUAGAACGGCGGUAGCAUUAUGAGGUGAUCUCUCACUAAAAUUUCAAGACGAAAUUGUGUUCUCCCCGACUGUGCACCGUUGCGACAGUUCUUCGUUUCGAGACACCACGUGAUGAUCGGGUGUGAUAGACUCAACGUUCNNNNNNNNNNNNNNNNNNNNNNNNNNNNNNNNNNNNNNNNNNNNNNNNNNNNNNNNNNNNNNNNNNNNNNNNNNNNNNNNNNNNNNNNNNNNNNNNNNNNGGUGGGGUUAUGUCUGACGUAAGUAGGUGUUCAGGAUCAUUCAUUUGGUCAUCAGUAGUUCACGUCCACUAUGCGUAGAUCAUCCCCCUCUUUAUUAUUGUACUCGUAGUUAGCCACCAAAUAAAUGCUUAGUCGCUGCUGCAACCUCACCACUUAACCAUGUCUCACCUAUUAAGCUUUGCUAGUCUUGAUACCUUUGGAAAUGAGAUUGCUCAGUCCCCUGUGGCUCAAAGAUUACUACAACACCAGUUGCAGGUACAGGUAAAGGUUACUUGACGCGAGCGCGUUGAUUGUACAUUUGGAGUUGCUUCUUCUUCUUCUUCUUCGAUCUAGGAUGGGUGCCAGGCCGGCAGCCUGGGAUAGCAAGGAUGGACGUCGUUCUUCUUUUAUCGUUUGUUUUCGUCCGUAGUCGGACCCUGCUCUUACUCUUGAUGAUUAUGUAAUGUACUGUGCUGACUCCGAUGUAGCUUGUGGCGAGUGUAAGCCAAUUCCAUUAUAUAUCUCAUCUUUUCAGUACAUGUACUUGUAACGAUAUCCAUUCUUGCGACACGACGAGAUGCGUUUCUAUCCCUGACGAGGCCUUCGUGCCAAAUUGAGGAUAGGGUAGCGUCUUGGGUGCGACAAGUUGGUAUCAGAGCAGGCGGCACGACGACGGGUAGCUGUGGGAGGCAACGCGGCUGCGGGGCGAGGGACGGCUGCCAUGGGAGGGGAGCUCCGCUAGGAUUAGGGUUUCGGGCCCAGGGCGGGCUCCAGAUGGGCCUGGUGGGCCCUGGCGCGGGAGGAGAGAGGAGAGGCAGAGGGAGUGGUGGCGGCUGGCUGUUGGGGUGGCACAGAUAUCGAGGUGGAGGGGGGUUGGCUGCCUAAAAUUAAGGAGGGGGUCUAUUUAUAGACAAAUGGGGUUAGGGUUACCCGAAUCAGGAUCCGUUUUCGCCCACGGAAUCGUGAACGGACAGUCACNNNNNNNNNNNNNNNNNNNNNNNNNNNNNNNNNNNNNNNNNNNNNNNNNNNNNNNNNNNNNNNNNNNNNNNNNNNNNNNNNNNNNNNNNNNNNNNNNNNNAAAAAAUUACCUAUACAUGGAAAAAUAAACUAGCGAAAUUCCCUACACGCAAAAAUACGAAUAACCGCUCUAAAAUACAUGGAAAAUGGGUCCCUAGAGCAUGAACAUUUUAUCUAAGGCAUUCAGGAAAACCGGACACGCGCGAAAAAUAAACUACGGGCAAAAUAUAUUAGGACAGCACGUAAAACUAUGCAUUCGACACGCUAAACGGUGUCAAACAAAUGUGCAAGUUGCACCAACGUAUUCUACGUGCAAAACUACGCAAAAACCAUAUAUUACACAUCUCGAUCCGACAUACGGUUUAAAAGAUACACGAGUCUUAAAUAUCUAAUAAAUCCUGAAAUUAUUUAAAUACAGCAAUAUCCUAAAUACAAACGGGCCGAAUCUGGAGGCACAAUUUAGUAAAUAGCGCCAAGGGCGCGGGAUAGGGAUGCAGGGGUGGAAUCCUCACCUUGGGCUCAAGGCCUCCUGGAGGGGGAGGCAGGCCGGCUUGGAGGGGAUGGCCUGGCCUGGGCCGGCUGGUCGACGGUUGCUGGGCCGCGUGGGGAGGCUUGGCCUGGCCUGGCCCAGCCGGCGGAGAGGUAGCCCAGGCGCUGCACCACAGGGCGUCGCCCUCCUCCCGAUCCCAUCGGGUCGAGGCAGGGAAGGCCACGGCGGGGUUGGCCUUGGCUCCAGUGAGCUGGGCCACAGGAGCGCCGCGACGAGAGUUGGGACGAGGCGCCAGCAGUCGAGGGGGGGGCGGAACCGUCGCGGGAUGACCGGGGCGGCGGACUCCAGUGAGGAGGUGCAGCGCGAGCUCCAGAUCCAUGGCGGGGCGGCUGCUUGGUGCGGCGGGGAACUGGGCGGCGCACAUGCGAGGGGGAAGCUCGCGAGGGCGCGCUAGGGCGGCGCGACAAUGGUCCAGGAGCAGGCGGCGCGGCGACGGGUAGCUGUGGGAGGCAACGCGGCUGCGAGGCGAGGGACGGCUGCCAUGGGAGGGGAGCUCAGCUAGGAUUAGGGUUUCGGGCCCAGGGCGGGCUCCAGAUGGGCCUGGCGGGCCCUGGCACGGGAGGAGAGAGGAGAGGCAGAGGGAGAGGUGGCGGCUGGUUGCUGGGGUGGCACGGAAAUCGAGGUGGAGGGGGGUUGGCUGCCUAAAAUUAAGGAGGAGGUCUAUUUAUAGACAAAUGGGGUUAGGGUUAUCCGAAUCAGGAUCCGUUUUCGCCCACGGAAUCGUGAACGGACAGUCACGGACACGGGAAUGGAUUGGAUGGGCUGUGUGGAGUGGCUAGCCGGGGACGAGAGGGAAAAGGUGCGGCACGACAACGCGAUUUUUAAAACAACGAAAAACGUCCGAUGAUACACCGAAGACGGUGCCGCUACGGUCGACCGUUCGGGUACCAGACGGACUCCGAUCGCGACGAAAUUCGACAAGCGGCCUAGCUAUAACUAAUCACGACCGCAAGCCAAGUUUCACCCCGAUCAGAGAAAGUUUUAUGCACACUUUUUAAUACAGGGUUUUGAUGCUGCCGCGGGCGCGUGCGUGUGCGGUCGGGCUCAGAACAGACAACGACGUGAACCGGCAACUAACAACGGAUGCAAGUUUUGAAAAAUGGCGGCAACAGGGUGCCGAUGCAAUGCUAAUGAUGCACAUGAUGCGAUGAUGAUGCGACAAAAGAAAAUAGACACACGACGAAAACGGGAAGAAAAGGGGAAUCUUCUGGAACGUCGGCAUCGGGCUCUCACAUCAACUCCGAAAACCAUCCAACGAUGUGUUGGUUAACGUAGCAUAAAUUCAAAAUUUUCCUACGCAUAUUCAGAUCUUCCUAUGGAGAGACCAGCAACGAGAGAGGGGUAAGAGCAUCUUCAUACCUUUGAAGAUCGCUAAGCGGAAGCGUUGCUAGAACGCGGUUGAUGGAGUCGUACUCGCAGCGAUUCUGAUCUAGUGCCGAACUACGGCACCUCCGCGUUCAACACACGUGCAGCCCAGUGACGUCUCCCGCACCUUGAUCCAGCAAGGAGGAGCGAGAGGUUGGGGAAGAACUACAGCAGCACGACAACGUGGUGUCGAUGGAGAGACGAGGUCUCCCGGCAGGGCUUCGCCAAGCACCGGCAGAGAGGAUGAGGAAGAAGGGCAGGGCUGCGCUGAGAAAGAGGCAAAAGUCUGAUCUCCAAUGGCCAAAAGUGCCCACUAUAUCUAGGGGGAGGGAGGGGCUGCGCCCCCUUGAGGGUUUCCCUCUCCUGGGGGGAGGGGGGCAGCCCUAGAUGGGGGCACCCCUAGUGGGCCUUAGGCCCACCUAGCUUAGGGUUUGCCCCCCCCCCUUUUCUCUCCCCCACGCAUUGGGCUGAGUGGGGAGGCGCACCAGCCCACCUAGGGGCUUGUUCCCUUCCCCACUUGGCCCACCUUACCUCCCGGGGUCGUUGCCCCCCUUCGGUGGACCCCCGGGGCCACCUCCGGUGGUCCCGGUACGUUACCGGUGAUGCCCGAAACACUUCCGGUAUUCGAAACCAUCCGUCCGAUAUAUCAAUCUUUACCUCCGGACUAUUCCGGAGCUCCUUGUGACGUCCGGGAUCUCAUCCGGGACUCCUAACAACUUUCGGUAACCUUGUAUAACAAUUCCCUAUAACCCUAGCGUCAUCGAACCUUAAGUGUGUAGACCCUACGGGUUCGGGAGACAGGCAGACAUGACCGAGACGCCUCUCCGGCCAAUAACUAUCAGCGGGGUCUGGAUACCCAUGGUGGCUCCCACUUGCUCCACGAUGAUCUCAUCGGAUGAACCACGAUGUCAAGGAUUCAAUCAAUCCCGUAUACGAUUCCCUUUGUCUGUCGGUAUAGAACUUGCCCGAGAUUCGAUCGUCCGUAUACCUAUACCUAGUUCAAUCUCGUUACCAGUAAGUCUCUUUACUCGUUCCGUCACACGUCAUCGUGUGACGAACUCCUUAGUCACAUUGACCUCAUGAUGAUGUUCUAUCGAGUGGGCCCAGAGAUACCUCUCCGUCACACGGAGUGACAAAUACCGAUGUCGAUUCGUACCAACCCAACAGACACUUUCGGAGGUACCCGUAGUGCACCUUUAUAGUCACCCAGUUACGUUGUGACGUUUGAUACACCCAAAGCACUCCUACGGUAUCCGGGAGUUGCACAAUCUCACGGUCGAAGGAAAAGAUACUUGACAUUAGAANNNNNNNNNNNNNNNNNNNNNNNNNNNNNNNNNNNNNNNNNNNNNNNNNNNNNNNNNNNNNNNNNNNNNNNNNNNNNNNNNNNNNNNNNNNNNNNNNNNNCUAAUGAUGUGAUCCCGUUAUCAAGUGACAACACUUGCCUAUGGCCAGGAAACCUUGACCAUCUUUGAUCAACGAGCUAGUCAACUAGAGGCUUACUAGGGACAGUGUUUUGUCUAUGUAUCCACACAAGUAUUGUGUUUCCAAUCAAUACAAUUAUAGCAUGGAUAAUAAACGAUUAUCAUGAACUAAGAAAUAUAAUAAUAGCUAAUUUAUUAUUGCCUCUAGGGCAUAUUUCCAACAGUUUCUUUGGCCUCAAAACUUCUCGUUCUCUCAAUGGAGGCCAUCACAUGACACGUGCGAGCCCCCCGCAUUUUUCGGAACCACGUGCAACAUUUGAGACAUUUAUUUCUCUGCUAAGGAUUCAGCGCCGGAAAUGCAAAUCUACAAGGCGACACAUGAAACUGUGCUUGUAAGCGGCAUGGAAACUCCUAUGUCACGUCUUUGCAACAUGUGUAGGCCUUGUGCAGAUGAGGGAGGGGCACGCCUGCCACCGAGGGUGAAAGUAUUUCGGUUGCAUGCCUGAUCCAACCGUUUAACUCCUAAAAAGUCAUACAUUGCCAAAAUUCCUUGAAGGCUGGUACAAUGUCAUUAUAUGGCCCUUGUAGAGUGUGGUAAAAUUUUGGCGCCUUUCAAAAAAUCCUCCCCUGAGGCUGCUUGUAAACCGCAUCAUAUCCGAGUGAGUCUCUAGAUAUCGAGAGGGAACGUGUCCGGUUUAUGAAGGAAGUAUGGAUCAUGUUGCUCCGCUGGCCUCGAAACUUCACGUGCUCUUAAAGGAGAUCAUCGCAUGACACGUGCCAGACCCCCGCAUUUUUGGUAACCGAGUGCCAUAUUUGAGACAUUUUCUGCUUUGCUAGGGUUUCAACGCUGGAAAUUACAAAACUGCAAGGUGGUACAUGAAAUUUUGUCCGAAAGCGACAUGAAAAUUGUUAUGUGAUGCAAGGUUAGAUGAAAGAUGUAGGAAUGAUGCUAUCUCAUUUUGCCGGGAGGAGCACUCAGUAUAAAUAUAUUUUUUGAUUGUUGCUCUCUGUAAUAGAUAUAACAAAGAAGCACACGAUCCACCAACGAGCAUCCAAUGCACGGAACGCUCACGUGGCAGACUGAAUGCCCAUUGGUGAAGGCAGAUAGGCCACGUUCGGGAGCUGCCCUUAUCACAAGCAUAACACAUGCGUGAAACGUACUUCGUUCGUCGCCAAGAAAAGUCCUCGAGCUGCCCUUAUCACAAGCAUAACACAUGCUCGGGUCACCCGCCGCCCGCCGCCAUCUCCUAGCUCCCUCGUGACAUCCACGGCCUGCAGGCUUCUGGUCGAGGUGUAGAGGCUGGUCCUCGAGCUGCAUGGUAAGGCAGUGCCGCGUCAUCUUCCGCAACGUCAGAUGCCGCGUGUGCCCCAUCGAGCUGCUCGAGAUCCUCUCCGGCCAAGUCCAUCCGCCCACAUGAUCGUCUCCCAUAGAAACAGUUGACCCGGAUAAAUCAUAUCUCACGCGGCUACUGUCUUCGGUGCCUAGGUUCCGGGUCUAUCAUCGGGAAUGCUCCUCUCCAAGCACCCAAUCUGGCCAAUACAAUAGCUAGGGAGAAGCAAGUAAGUACUUUGAAUGUACUCGCAAACAUCAUGAAAGCAGAAAAAAAUAGCAGGUGGUUGAUAUGCACUUGAAAUAAUUCAACAGUAUUCUGUCAGUCAUAAAUUCAAAUUCUUAAGUGCAAGCAAUCAGGUAAUUUAGCUAUAUUGAGAAUUUAAUAAGCAAACAAUGAAAGAAAAGUUAAAGGAUAAGAUAUGAGACAUGCUCAGUCGGGCGUCUGAGUGACAUCACAUAAAGGGCUUAUAUGAAAUAAUUAACAAGCAUGCCACAGUCAAGCGUCUGAACGACGCCACAAAAAGGUCUUAUAUGAAAUAAUAACAAGAAUGCCACAAUCGGGCGUCUGAGCGACACCACAUAAAAGGCGUAUAUGAAAUAAUAACAAGCAUGCCAUAGUCAGGCGUCUGAGCGACACCAUAUAAAGGGCUUAUAUGAAAUAAUAACAAUGAAUAUCCAGGAGGUAGAACCGUCCGAGGGAUAUUCAACAUUCAUGUAUCAUAAGGGUUAGUCCAUAGAAAAAUAAUAAUGAUGAUCAUCCACCAUAUUUCACGAUUUUUCUCAUGAUUAAGUUAACUUCCUUCGAAGACCGACACUGAGACCGACAGUUGACCUAUCCCAGACUAUAGUCCUUUACCGCGGAUACGAUUAUCCGAAUAGAUGUAAAACUCCGCAGAGCGUGUACUCUUUACCCACGAGUAACAUAUUUCUUUAGUCAACCAGGAAUGACGACUAAUUCCGAUUACGGUCUUUGAGUUGAAAACACACCUAACUUGUACACACCAGUUCCUACUUCCCGAUGCCUGGGAUCACUCACAUCACUCGUUAAGUACAACUCUGAGUGGGGAAGAUUCCAAAUCUCCACUGGCACUGGGAUCACAACAUUUAUAUCGCGCGCACAAGGGGGAGCUAACCCCUUCAGUUCGAGACUGAAACAUCCAUGCCCCUGGUCCAAGUGACAUGACUACCAGGGGCCACCGAUAUCUUUCACUAUGGCCUCUCCUGUACGUUGUGUGCCAAGAAAUGGGUUGACAACUUACUGAACCGUAUCCUGCCUUCGACAGGGACAAGCGGGAGUACGAAACAAGUAAGGGAGGUUACUGGACCAAGACUCAGUCUAUGGUCGACUCAGGGGCUUAUAUUAUUCGCUGCAUGAAUAGCACAACAAAAAUGUUUCAUUGCCUCGCCAACCAUCCUCAUCCAACGAGAUGUGAGUACCCAAAGUCAUGUCUUCCCGAGACACCGACUCUUCUCGAAUCCCAUCUGAUAGGCAUGUGUGGCAUAAGGGAGUGACUACUGUUACAUGCAUCUCAUUAUGCAACGGAACUAAUUUCUCACCAUGUACUCAUGAGCAUGAUUAUAUCACCACAUGAAAUAUCAUCAAACUUAUUUUAACAUAACAGUAGUGUUUCCUUCUUCAAAACAACCACACACAACAAUAAUAUGUCCAAGUUCAGAAUGCUUGCCUUCAAGGUGUAGAAAGGUGAGGUGCACAUCAAAACUUUCUGAAAGUUUUUAUCUUCUCUUUACAUUCCUAUUUUGAAAAACAAAUCAACAUACAAUUCAAACAGUACUAAAAAGUUGUUUGGAAAAUAUUCAAUUAAAUACUAAAACAAACUAGAGGAAUUUUUUUAGAGAUGAGAAAAAGAAUCAACUUAUUUGGAGUUCUAUUUUAAAAGAUAUGGCCAAUUAGAGUUUAGUCAAACUUUAGUUUCUAAAUAGAUCAGAAAAAAAUGCUUCGGCUAAGAGUACGGUUUCAGCACACAGGUACCCGACGCUUAAACAACUUUCUCACAGAAAAGGCGUACUUCCGGCAAUAUGCGGCCUCAAAGAGGAAGCGCGUUUGGCGCAGUGCACCAACAGCAAGGGAGGCCAACGUUUCAUGUUCCGAUGUUCGUCUCGCGCGCGUUGACAGAGGUUGCCAACACGGCUAGUACUGCACUAUGGCAACCAGCACUGGCGCAGGGCAGGGCGCAUACGCUGGGAGCAGCGUCGACGACUCGAUGUGAUCCCGAUUGGAUCUGGGACGGGAUCGGGCGGUGCAAUUUUUUUUUAUUCACUCCUUUUACCGAGUGUCGUUCUCGGCAAACCACCCGCGCCACGUGGUUAUGAUGUCGUUUGCUCGUUUCGUCUGAUCACUUUUCUUUGCCCAGUGGCUAUAUUUGAAGCUCGACAAAGGCUUUGUUGAGUGUCCGGCAAAUGACUCGCGGUAAAUUUCUGUUUGCGUGAGAGGUUUACGUUGGGUGGAGUUCAUCGAAUGCAACUCUCAACAAAAGCUUUGCCGAGGAUUUUAGGGCCUUUGCCAAGUAUUUUUCGCACUCGACGUACGUAUCGAUUCGAGUAGUGUGGCCUGGUUAUUCCUGAUGUCUCUGGUUCCCACGUAGAUGUUGUAACAUAUGUGUAAUUCUCCUCUCAUUCUUGCUCAAUUUGAUCAUCUCAUCACCACGUAUCUAGUGUAUUUGGUUAAUGCUACCAAUAUGUCAAAUUGAAUAGAACGACAAUGCUCCAUGGAGUGGCAUAUAUAUAUAGGGUGAGGAAAGCAUAAUUCACAUGAGCGAGGUUGGUGAACAUUCAAUUAUUUUGCCAGCUGAAUGCACAUGAACUAGAAACUUGUAAUA
rnacentral:lncRNA from 1 species